CACUUUUAUUGUUUUUUUAAAAUAAAAAUUCCGCUUCAAUAAAAAUUCCAAUCACUUGAAUUUUUAAUUUAUUUCAAUUAAUCACUCAGCCCUAAUUUUCCUGUAAGCUUAUGUAGACUCCUUUUUUUUCCCUUUUUUUUUUUUCUUCCGAGGGGCAAGCAUUGAAAGAUGCCCUCCCAGGCAUGUUUGUUUAGGUGAAAGUAAGACGGAAGUGGAGAGGGAAAAAGUUAUUUUCGCUAUAAUCGUACACUUUCCUUAUUUGGUUUGCCGUAAAAAAGUUACGGUAGAAACUCGAGUUAACCUAAAAUGACGUAAUUGACUUCGGUCUAUCGUGGGUCGAAGUUAAUUACGGUGAAGGAAGGUAAACGAAAAAUAAUAAUAAAAUAAUAUACUAGGUAAAAAUACUUAUAUUUAAAUAUAUUUAAUUAUAGUACUAAUUACUCUUUUAUUUAGUUGGCAUAUUUAAAAUAUGAUAAAAAUUGAUUAAUUAAGUUUUAAUAUUUUCUUCAUUUAUUUUGUACAAUUAUAUAACUAAAAUUUAUGUAUAAAAAACAAUAUAAUUAUUUUAAAUUAAAUUAUAAUUAUAUAAAAAUAUAAUUAUAUUAUUUUUAUUAAUUAAAUUAUUUAUUAUUUAUAUAUAAAUUAUAGUUUUACAUUAUACACUUCUUACCAAACAAACAGCAGAACUAAUAAAACUUCAAUUCCAUAAUUACAAAACAAAUAGCGAAAAAGAAGUAGUUUUUACCAAACUUUACUACAACCGAGAGUCCACUUCAACCCAAAAUCUAAUUGCAUGGCUCCCUUCAGGUUUCGUCUAUGGUUGCUAAAAAAAUGUGUUAUUUGUAGGAAAAAAAUACAAUUGAAAAUAUUAUUUUGCAAUAUCGCAUUCCGGAUACCACUGUAUCAUCCUAUGAAAAUAUAUAAAGCAAUGCUUCAAUACAUCACAAAUAUUACUUUAAUUAGUACAUGGUAUAGUUGGAUUUACAUAAAGUAACCUGCUGAAUAGUUUAGCUAUUUGGAUUAGUUAAUAUGAUAAUAUUGGAAAAAAAUGAGUAGUAUAUAUAAAAUUUGUUAGUGUUCUUAAAUUUUAAACUUCUUAUUUAAUUUUGUUACUUACCAAAUUAGAUAAUACCCAAUUUGCUAAAUAUCAUGCUAAAAAAAAUAUUAAAUUUAAAAUUUAAUUUUUGAAUUUGGUAUUGUAAUGUAAAAUUUUAAUUUUUGAAAUUUUAAAUUUUGAAUCUAAAUUGUAAUUUUAAUCUUAAAGCCAAAUUUCAAUUCUUGAUUUAUAUUGAAAUUUUGAAUUUGAACGGAAAUUUUUAUGUUAAAUUUGUGUUUAAUAUUUUAAAAACAUUGAACUUGAUUCAUAAUUAAGUUUUUUAUGUUAUUCCAAAUUAAAUUCACAGUCUGGAUGUAAUUUAAAUUUCAAUUAUUGUUGUAGGUAUUUGAAAAGUUUAUGGUACUCCUAGUUGGAUAAAUACGGUCUUGUGGAUCAAAACAUACUGCAAAGAUCAAAAUACCCUUUAGAUAGGUACCUAGUGAAUGGUAUCUAUAUCUCGGUAGUAUAUUAUAUGUCAAAUCACUUAUUUAGAAAAAUAAAUUGCCGAGGUUUACUUGGUGUAUGGAAGCAUUGCUCAUUUAUAUGUUCAUAUAUGCUUUCGCCUUGCCUCUUUUUUGUUUUUUUUUUUUUUUUUUUUUUUUUUUUUUUUUUUUUCAGCUCCACGAGGCAUAGGAUGUCUCACCCAUGUAGCUUAAUUCAUACCUCCAACGAAUGAAGCGGGUAGCGUGCUAUCUAUUUCUCUUAAAAAAAAGAAAAGAAAAGAAAAUAUGACUAAGUCAACAUGCUUGUAAAGUCUACCGGACCCUAAUCCGUAUGCAGAAUCGAGCCAACUAUAGGCCUUAAACACAGCCCAGCUAUUGACCCUUACAAUCUUUUGCUUCUUCCUUCUGUUUUCUCAAAGCCUAAACAAAUUUAAGGUAUUUGAUUUAUUUGAUCUUUAUUAAUUAGUAACGUAUUACUGCUAAAAUAAUUGAACAGUAAUUGAAUGAUGUGUUUACAUAUUUAUUAUCCCUUUCUUUCUCUACAUUAAUACACACAUGAAUCUUACUUCUUAUUUCUAAGAAACUGAAAAAAAGUUUGGUAGACACUUUCCUCCGGUUAGCAAGAUCCCUUUUUUUUUUCUUUAACAGUGCUACCUAUUAAUGGAGCUGGCUCCUGUGUUUCUUUCCUUCCUCCUUCUUGUGCCCUUUUGUACUUAUUGAUUUAUUCUUUUCUAUUUCUUUCUUCUCUUCUUUGAUCUUAAUUUUCUACCAUUGUAUACAUGCAUACGCCCGCAAGAUAUUUAAAUUUUCAUAUAUAUAUAUACACCUGAGCAAAGAAUGAUAUGAAAGAACAAAAAAAAUAAUUCUAUUUAUUUUCAUAUGUAAUAUCGUAAUUUUAAUAUCAUAGUAAAUCCAAAUUAUCAUAUAUUUUUUGGUGUCCUCAACAAAAAAAAAAAAUAGAAAAUCAUAUUUUUAUAUAUUUUCGCCCCAAAUUCUGUUUUGCCUGUUGACCUUACAUACGAAAACAUACUGAACGGGCCCUUUGCCGGUUGGCCCGGUUAUGCUUUGAGUUCUAGUGCCUGAAUUUGGAGUUUAGGCCUUUGUAGCUUUUUAGGCUUUUGCUGGUAGUUUGAUGGCAUUUCUUAGUUGUUCUCUGUUCAUCUAGGGGAGCAUAUCUACUGUAUUUCUCCUAGUAUUUUUGAAGACUCUCAAUAUCCUUUUGUAAUCAUCUGCCACUAUAGAGAGAGGGUUUAUCAAGUGGCUUGUUUGUCCUCUUUUUAUUUGUUAUUCACUUGUGCUGUUCCCAGUUAAAUAAAACUUGCCUAUACGUCGAGUGUUCUAGCUCCAAAAAUAUAUAUAUUCGUUUAGCAUUGUAUAAAUUCGCUCCGUUCAGAUUCGGAUUUGAAUCGUAUCUUUUGACAUCUCUAGUAAAGUUGUCCAGCCUGGCUUGGUAUGACCAUUGGCCAUGCCUUUUUUUGAAGACGCGUCUAGUUUUAUAGUGUUGCGAAAAAAUUUUAUGUCAAAUAAGGUCUAAUCAAUCAUUCAUCAGAUCUCAUCGCAUGUAAGGAUUUUAAAACGGCGAUGUAUAUAUGGUUAAAUCUUUUAAAAGGUUUUUGGAAUGGGCCUGAAACUCGUGUUUCAAACGGAGAAGCCAUUUUAUCAUGUAUAGAUAUUGUUAGUUAAUUCACGAAUUUUUAAAGAAAUAAAUUAAACGGCUGUAUUUGUAUUUUUCCAAAAAAUUCAAAAAAGCACGUGUUUUUUUGGUCAAAAAUACUUAUUUGCGAAUAAUUCGCGAGCUCCGAAUUAUUCGCCCAAAAAUACAGUUCCGCUCUCGUGCCCGCGCCAACGCCCCUGGGUCGCGGGCCUCACGGUCGCGGGUCACAGGCCUCGCGGCUCGCUCACGCUCACAGUCGAGGGUCGCAGGCCUCACAGCUCGCCCAAAACAGAAAAAACAAAACUCUUUCCAAACGUUCACCACGCCCAAAAUAGAAAAGAGAUGAAAAGAAAAAUCCUUUUCAAAUGGUUCGCCCUGCUCCCCCCGUAAAAAAAAUCAUUCGAUUAAAAAAAUUUAAUUUCUUAUAGACUAUCUUAAUCUCUUAUUUGCUUAAUUAUUUAUUUAUUUAUUUUGAGUCAUAAUAUAGUUUGUUAUUUUUUUUACUUAAUUAGCGAGCUUAUCUCAUCUCAAGCUUGGCUUGAAAUUAAUUUCAAACCUAAAUUUAGGCUUAAGCUCGGCUUGAAAUUAAUUCGAGCCGAGCUCGAGCGAGCCUAAUUUCGAGUCGAGCGAGCUCAAGCCCUAAACGAGCUGUUUGAAAUUCUUAACACCGUGCAAUCUAUAGUUUAAUUUUUAUAAAACAUUAUCUAAAAUUCCAUACAAAAAAUGUCUAAUAGCUCAACAUACAAAAUGAAUGCAUGAAAUACAAUAUUAUAAGAUUAAAAAAAAAGGAAAAGCGAUUCUGUGAGUGAGUGAAAAAGAGAGAAAAAGAGAGAAAUUAGAGUACAAUUUUGCUGGUUUGAUUUUGUGGGCCCAAUAAUCUAAAUUCUAUAUACAUAUAAUUAAAAUACAUAAUAUAUAUUAUUUUAUAUAAUUAAAAUAUAUAUUAUAUAUAAUUAUAUAGAGAGAGAGUUCGGCUACUAUACUCUUAUUAGUAUAGACCCCUUUAUACUCAUAAGUUUUCGAUUGUUAGAUCUAUACUUUUGACUAUUUCCAUCCGUAAAUCAUACUAUUCAACCAAUCAUCCACCCAAUCCUAGGGGACCACUAUCAUCCUAAUUGCACAUCCAACGGCCAAAAAUUUAUAAGUAUAAAAAGGUCUAUACUCAAAAGAGUAUAGUAGCCAUAGCCUAUAUAUAUAUAGAAUUAGAUUACUAUACUAUUAAUAGUACCAACCGCUUGUUAUUAAGUUUUCGGCCCUUAGAUGAAGGAAUGUGUGGUCAGGAUAAUUGUAGCCCCUUAGGGUUGAGGAGGUGAGUAGUUGAAUAGUAUGAUCUAAUGGAUGAAAAUGAUUAAAGAGGUAGAUCUAACGGUAGAAAACUCGAUAGCACCAAACGCUUGGUACUAUUGAUAGUAUAGUAACAGAACUCUAUAUAUAUAGAUAGAUCUAACGGCAGAUAACUCGAUAGCACAAAACGAUUGGUACUAUAAAUUGUAUAAUAGUCGGACUAUAUACAUAUAGAGAGAGAGUCCGGCUACUAUAUUAUCGAUAGUACCAAAUGCUUAGUACUGUCGAAUUUUUUACCGUUAGAUCUACCCCUUUGAGCAUUUUCACCCGAUAGAUCAUAUUAUUCAACUAAUCACCCNUUAAUAGCAUAAAUUUUGAGAGAAAAAAAUUUAAUUUAAUAGCUGAAUUUUUUAUUUCGAAUUUUUAAAGGAUGAACGUAUAAUAUCCGUAUAAAUCACGUAUAUGAAUAAUUGACGAAUUUGUGUUUUAGCCAUAUUUUUUAACGAAUUUAAAAAUAAAAAAAUAAAUUUUAUCCGAAUUAUAACUGUAUCGAAUUUUUGUCAAAUCCGAAUUAACUAUGGCACAGAUUUGAUAAUUUGUAUUUAAAUAUUCCAUACAAUUUUUGUCCGAUGCAUGCGGAAUGAGGAAGGUGCCUCACUUUGACCAGUACUUGGGUUUCUGCAUACGCGUGAGGUAGAUGACACAAAUUUUAAUCAAAUAUUAAAGAUAAAAUAAUCUUAUUGUCUUAGUUGCAUAAUCUACUCAAAUUGAAGUAUUAAACCCUGUAUCUCAAUCUCCACCGUUCGAUCUCUCCACCUUCUUUAGAUCGACGCACAAUAUCUUUUCUUUCAACACGUAGCUCCAAAUAUUAUAUAUUAUUACUAGCAAGUAACCCGUAAGAUAUGUAGAUUAAGAAGCAUUGUGGAGAACCCGAGCAAAACAGCAUUGGCUACAGGAGGGUGACAAUAAUACCAAAUUCUUCCAUGCUGUAGCCAAUGGCCGGAUGAGAACAAACAGAAUUGACGUGAUCGAAGAGAGUGGGACGGUGCAUCACUCUGAAGAGGAUAAACAGAAUGUCUUAUUUCAAAAUUUUAAAAAGCUUUACUCAUCGGAUGAGUUGGCUCCAUCAUCAUUUGGGGACUGGAGUGAGCUUUUCAGGAUGACGCGGGUUAGCCCUACCGAUCAUGUGCNUUUAUCAAGUGGCUUGUUUGUCCUCUUUUUAUUUGUUAUUCACUUGUGCUGUUCCCAGUUAAAUAAAACUUGCCUAUACGUCGAGUGUUCUAGCUCCAAAAAUAUAUAUAUUCGUUUAGCAUUGUAUAAAUUCGCUCCGUUCAGAUUCGGAUUUGAAUCGUAUCUUUUGACAUCUCUAGUAAAGUUGUCCAGCCUGGCUUGGUAUGACCAUUGGCCAUGCCUUUUUUUGAAGACGCGUCUAGUUUUAUAGUGUUGCGAAAAAAUUUUAUGUCAAAUAAGGUCUAAUCAAUCAUUCAUCAGAUCUCAUCGCAUGUAAGGAUUUUAAAACGGUGAUGUAUAUAUGGUUAAAUCUUUUAAAAGGUUUUUGGAAUGGGCCUGAAACUCGUGUUUCAAACGGAGAAGCCAUUUUAUCAUGUAUAGAUAUUGUUAGUUAAUUCACGAAUUUUUAAAGAAAUAAAUUAAACGGCUGUAUUUGUAUUUUUCCAAAAAAUUCAAAAAAGCACGUGUUUUUUUGGUCAAAAAUACUUAUUUGCGAAUAAUUCGCGAGCUCCGAAUUAUUCGCCCAAAAAUACGGCUCUGCGCUUGCACCCGCGCCCACGCCCGCUCCCCCGCCCCAGGGUCGCGGGCCUCGCAGCUCGCUCACGCUCACGGUCGCAGGUCGUAGGCCUCACGGCUCACCCAAAAUAGAAAAAAAAAAAACUCUUUCCAAACGUUCACCUCGCCCAAAACAGAAAAAAGAAAAAAAAAAUCCUUUCCGAAACGUUCGCCCUCCUCCCCCCGUAAAAAAAAAAAAUUACUCGAUCAAAAAAGUUUAAUCUCUUAUAAACUAUCUUAAUCUCUUACUUGUUUAAUUAUUUAUUUAUUUUGAGGCAUAAUAUAGUUUGCUAUUUUUUUACUUAAUUAGCUUAAUUUUGUAACUCUUUAUUCUUAUAUUCUUAAGAAAUAUGAAUAUUUAUAUUAAUAGCAUAAAUUUUGAGAGAAAAAAAUUUAAUUUAAUAGCUGAAUUUUUUAUUUCGAAUUUUUAAAGGAUGAACGUAUAAUAUCCGUAUAAAUCACGUAUAUGAAUAAUUGACGAAUUUGUGUUUUAGCCAUAUUUUUUAACGAAUUUAAAAAUAAAAAAAUAAAUUUUAUCCGAAUUAUAACUGUAUCGAAUUUUUGUCAAAUCCGAAUUAACUAUGGCACAGAUUUGAUAAUUUGUAUUUAAAUACUCCAUAUAAUUUUUGUCCGAUGCAUGCGCAACGAAGAAGGUGCCUCACUUUGACCAGUACUUGGGUUUCUGUAUACGCGUGAGGUAGAUGACACAAAUUUUAAUCAAUAUUAAAGAUAAAAUAAUCUUAUUGUCUUAGUUGCGUAAUCUACUCAAAUUGAAGUAUUAAACUCAAUCUCCACCGUUCAAUCUCUCCACCUUCUCUAGAUCGACGCAAAAUAUCGUUUCUUUCAACACGUUGCUCCAAAUAUUAUAUAUUAGUAUUAGCAAGUAACCCAUAAGAUAUGUAGAUUAAGAUAGACCUGGCAAACGGGCAGGUUAGGUAAUCCGCUGGCGGGUCAUUGUACCCGCGGGUUAUUUGGGCAUGAAUAAAAUUUAUCCGUAAAUUUUUUGGGUAGCCAACAUUUUUAUCAAUACCCGUCCACGUGUGGGCGGAUGGAUAUGCAGGUUACCCAGUAUUUUUUUUUCUCUUAUAUUUUUUAAAUAUAAAAUACAUAUAUAUAAGUUUUAAAAACGUAACAUAAUUCAUUAUUUAAAAUAUUAUAACAUACAAUAAAACUAUUUAAAGUUUUAAAGCAAAAACAUAUCAUAAUAUAAAUGACACGCGAUAAGAAAUUAUAAUUAGGGUUUUUAAAAUAGAUAAAUAAAAAUAUAUAUUUUUUAAUUAAAAAAUAUAUUAUAUAAUAAAAAAAUAUAUAUGCGGGUACUCGUGGGUACCCGUAGGUUACCCAAAAUGCUCACAGCUUAAUGGGUACCCACCCAUUUUACCUGUAAUUUUUUUGGUUGAAAAAGUUGGUAUUCAUACCUGCAAAUUUGCGGGUAACCAGCGGACACCCGCGGAUAUGGGUCGAGAUUGCCAGCUCUAAAUUAAGAUCAUCAUUUUUAAUUUUAAUUUAUUAUAAUAAAAAAAAUUAAUUUUUUUAUGAAAAAUAGACAGUGGGUGUUUAGAUUUUAUCUUAUCCUAUAAUAGAAAAGGGAAACUAAAACUAAGAGUUAAAAUAAAAACUAAUCAUUUCCUACUCUACUUAAUCGCUUGAACAAAAAUCAAGGUUGAAAUGCUAAAAGUGUAUAUAAUUGAUUAAAAUGUAUUAAAUUAUGACUAUUAACAUAAGGUAUGCCAUCAUUGUAUAUUGUGACUAUUCAUGAGCAAUCAUUAUUUCCAUUUAUAACAGAGAAGAUUAUAAACUUGAAAACGGCAGAAGAAGUAAUGAAUAGUUAAGUAAGGUCUACAAAAGAAGACUUAAUAGUAAGAAAAUUAUAAGAAAAAUAUUAAAUCAAUUUGUGAAUUAAUUGAUGACAACAUAUUAAAUUGUGUAUAGUAUAGUACUUGUUAUAUGGCGGUUUAUGGUUCAUUUAGGAACCAUGCUUUCUCUUAGUACACCCAUGUUUUCUAUUAUCUGCCCAAUCAAUCUAAAAAAAAAAGUGUAUACCUAUAUUCGCUUCUUCUUUUAUUUUUUUUUUGAGAGAUAGGUGACAUGGUAUCCGCUUCGUUUAUUUCAUUUAGAAAUAAAUUUAGCUGGAAAUGUGAAUCGAUUAGAAUUCGAACUUGAAAUCUCGGAUACCAAUCACCAAGUUUUUUGCCACUUGAGCUAGGGACGGUCGGUCCUAUAUUCGCUUCUAAAACUCAUUAAGAUUAAAAAUAUUUUUAAUAAAAUUAGAAAAUAAUUGGACUAAAUUUAAUUGGCUAAUAAAAAUAGAAUAUGCUCUGAUAAAAUUAGGGUUUAAGAGAGAUAUAUCUAACACAAGCAACGCUAGUAUACCUAGAAAGAAAGUGUCCUUUGUAUAAAGGCCAAUAUUUGAUACUUAUUUUAGUAAUUUUUUUGAGUGAAGAGCUAAGUUUGCCAUCAAAAGGGGUUGUAUUUUCUAUAACUCCUCAUCCGAAAAUUGUAGAAUGGGCUUUUUUUGCAAAUAGCCCCCUGACAAAUUUUAUUUGCAAAAAUAGCUUCGUCCAAAAAUUAUUUACAAAAAUGGUCCUGCUCCUGCCACGCUAGCGCCACGUCAGCGCCACGCGAGCAGGGCGGGUCCAGGUGUUUAAGUUGAACACGGUGAACCAUUCACCGUGUUCAAUACAAGAUUUUUGUAUUGGACACGGUGAAUCAUUCACCGUGUCCAAUACAAAAACUUUGUAUUGAACACGGUGAAUGAUUCACCGUGUUCAACUUAACCAUCUGGCCCAGCCCCGCCCGCGUGGCGCUGACGUGGCGCUUGCGUGGCGGGGCCAGGGCCAUUUUUGCAAAUAAAUUUUUGACAGGGCCAAUUUUAAAAAAAAAAUUUGUAAGGGGGCUAUUUGUAAAAAAAGCCCUUGUAGAAUUUACUAACUUUUUUUAAUUUUUAGAAAAAAAAAAUGAUAGGAUUUAUAAAGAAAAUGUGACUUCUCUAUUAGUAAAGUUGUAGGAAUAUAAUACAAAGUUGAUAAUCGAACUAGCAUUAAUGUAGAAAGUAUUAAAAUAUUCUUUAAACCUCAGGAUGGCGUGUAACGUGCAAAGAUGUACUUAUUAAUUUGGCUGCACAUGCUAUUGUUUUCAACUGACAGAGCUGUUCGUUGGGAGGAAUUCUACACUGUCACACUUACACCACGUCAUUAAUAACAAGCCAAUCACAUUCCUUCUUUUCAAACAAAAGUACAAUAAAAAUACUUUUUUACAAUCAUGAUGGGACAUAUAUUCUUAAAAGGAUUAAUUUGAUUGAUUUGUUACGCCACGUUACUAAUAUAACCGUUGCAUUCUAGAAUUUUUCGUUCGUUGGAAGGUCACAUCAAUUGUCUCUGUCAUUGCUGAUAAAAUAACAUGGUAUGAGUCAACCCAAAGCCCUAUCUUCUUCUGAAUCAAGAGCAGCAGAAUAGAUCUCUGGCCAUAGCUGAACUCGAAACAUUUUGCAAAGCAAGAAGAAUUUGAUCGAGCACCAUCACCCAAAUGGCGACGCUGGACGCUCUUUUCGGAAACUGCUCAGAGAAGCUCGCUGCUUUAAUCCAGGAUGAGGUGGCGAUGAUUCUCGGAGUGAAGGAAGAGCUCCGGAAGCUGCAGAGGAGGAUGAAGCGGAUCGACGGCGCACUGAAGAAAGUAGAGCGGGAGAGGACCGAAGAUGCCGCUUGGUUGAAUGAGCUGCAAAGUAUCUUGCAUGAAGCGAACGAUGUCUUUGACGAACUCAGGUAUGAGCUGCCGUCCGCAUCUUCAUCAGUUCUGUCGAUUCUCUGCUGCCUUCCUAUAUUCUCUUUCUUCAACUCCAUUCGAGUUCGUCACAACUUAGCCGAGAGAAUUAGAGACCUCAACAAUAGAAUCGAUGCGGUUGCGAAGGACCAGUGGAUCUUUAAUCUUGAGUCGGUAAAUGCGACGGUGGGUCGAGUGGCGAGCAUGUCGUCCACGCGCGAGACUUGUGAGAUCAUGGAAGCCGACGUCGUUGGGAGAGAGAUCGAAGAUGCUACCGACGUAUUGGUCGAGAUGAUAGUCGCGAACAACCGACGGAAUUUUCAAGUGAUUGCUGUAGCAGGCAUGGGAGGGAUCGGCAAGACCACGCUCGCUCAGAAGGUGGACAACAAUCCUAGAAUCCGAGAGAACUUCCAGGUGAGAAUUUGGAUUUGCGUCUCCCAAAAAUAUUCAGCUGUUCAACUGCUACAGGAGAUCACUCGAAAAGCAGGAGGCAGCCACGGAAGUGCCGAACGGGUUUUGGAACUGCUCCCUAUUCUCAGCCGGACACUUGGAGGGAGGAGAAUCUUUCUUGUGCUGGACGACGUAUGGCGAUCGAACGUAUGGACCGAUUUACUCCGAAACCCGCUACAAAAUGGAGCAGCUAGAGGAUGUGUUCUGGUGACCACGAGAGACCAGAACGUUGCGAUGAGAAUGGGUGCGAAACACAUUCACCGGGUGGAGAAAAUGUCUGUUGCCUCAGGCUGGGAGUUGCUUUGCAAGAAAACCUAUCUAGAAGAAGAAGGAGAAGAUGCGCAAAGUUUGAGAAGUGUGGGGGUUCAAAUUGUUAACAAAUGCGGCGGUCUUCCCCUUGCUAUCAAAGUGAUUGCCGGUGUCUUAACCACCAAGGAGAAAAGCAGAAAAGAGUGGGAGAAAGUUCUCAAAAGCAAUGCUUGGUCUAUGAGUGAGCUUCCUAAGGAAUUCACAGGUGCUCUCUACUUAAGUUACGAUGAUUUGCCGCUUCAUCUGAAGCAAUGCUUUCUUUCGUUAUGCCUUUACCUUGAGGAUGAUGUACACCGCAUUUGGGAUCUUCGCAGGAUGUGGGUGGCAGAGGGGUUUGUCAAGCAAGAAGAAGGUUUAACAAUGGAAGAGUUGGCCGAGCAAUACUACUUCGAGCUAAUACGUAGGAGUCUACUACAACCUGAUCCUCGUCAUGUGGAUAAGAGCAGGUGCAAAGUACACGAUCUCUUGAGAUCUCUCAGUCAAUAUUUGUCACGAGAUGAAAGUUACUAUGGAGACCCACAGUCCUUGGAUGCUACUGCAAUCUCAAAGCUUCGCCGCUUGUCAAUUGCUGGGAGCGGAGAGAUUGUUACAAUCCCUGGUCCGGAAACUGAGCAGCUACGCUUGAGCACUUUACUACUAAUUAAGAGUCCACCUAGAAUUGAGCGCAAUCUUUUCUCUAGAGUUCCAUACCUCCAAGUUUUAAUUCUUAAUGGAAAAGGGAUAGAAUGCGUUCCUGAUAGUGUGGGAAAUCUAAUACACCUCCGAUUGCUAGAUCUUAAUCGCACUAACAUAUCCAAUCUGCCAGACUCUAUUGGAUUCCUAAAAAAUUUGCAGACUUUAAACCUACGACAUUGCAAAUUUUUGAACACACUUCCAAGGAGCAUCACUCGCUUAUGCAGUCUUAGACGGCUUGGCCUUUCACGUACCCCUUUGAGAUGUGUCCCUGAAGGAAUAGGGAGACUGCAACUGCUCAAUGACCUCGAUGGAUUCGUUAUUAACGCAGAUGUUAGUUGCAAUACCGAACGAAACAGUUGGGACUUGGAAGAAUUGAAAUCACUUGGCCAACUAAGGUGGCUCAAAUUAUCUAUCUUGGGGGGAAAACGGAACGCAAAUUCUGUGCACUCCGCGGAUGACCUGAUAGUUCAACCGCCGACAGUAACUCAUCCAAGGAAUACGGCUUCUGUACUUGAAGGAAAAGCCUUCCUAAAAGAACUAAUUAUAUUAUGUAGACCACAGAAAAAGAGGGAAAAAGUGCUGCCAUACACAGAGGAGGAGAUCAGUAAGAUUGAAGAUAUCUUUGAGAAAUUGCACCCUCCAACUUGUUUAGAACGAUUAUGGAUCCACAACUUUUAUGGUCGGCAUAUUCCGAGUUGGAUGCUGUCGUCAUCUUUGGGUACUUAUCUUCCUUAUCUAACAUCUGUGAAUUUCAAAGGUUUGCCACUAUGCCUACAACUUCCACCUCUAGGCCAGUUGCCACAUCUGUGGUAUCUCGGAAUCGAAAAUGCUUUUGCGAUUGUAACUAUUGGUCCAGAAUUACUCGGUAUUGGGGUAGGUGACGGGGUGCACGCAGCAACAGCCUUUCCUAAGCUUGAAUUUCUUAAUAUGGUAAACAUGCCUAAUUGGGAAGAAUGGUCCUUAGUUGGCAGUGAAACAGGAAACUCAUCAUCUCGCUCGCUGCGAGUUAUGCCUCGUCUGGAGGUAUUGUGUGUAAUAGAUUGCCCAAAACUUCGAGCACUUCCAAAAGGUUUGCAGCAACUCAGAGCACUCCAGAAUUUGAAAGUUGAACGAGCUCAUAGCCUAAGCGUAAUUGAGGACUUCCUGUUCAUAACUGAACUUAUAAUCAUAAAGAAUGGCUGCAUGGAAAGGAUUUCAAAUCUUCCUGCACUAAAGAAGCUCACCAUUUGCGGCACUCCGGCUCUAAAGUGCGUCCAUAAUUUGGCUGCACUACAACACCUAGAGUUGCAAGAUUAUUCUAUGGAAUCCCUCCCAGAAUGGUUGUUGAGACUGGUCCAGCAACGGGCGCAUCUUCACGACAAAAACCUCCAACUUGUGAUUCGCUGCAGUGUCGCCGUAAUUCAGAGAUGCCUCAAGGGAGGGCAUGACUGGCCCAUCAUCGAGUGCUUUUCUCAUGUCCGCGCCUACACCAAAGAUAGAUCAGCAUAUCUGGAAUAUACCAAGCAAACUGGGUGCUAUCGAACCAAUCAAUGAAAGUAACAUCGGCAAAAACUUUCCUACUCUUCUCAUUUUGUUUCUUUUCUUUAUCGAUUAGAUGUUUUGUACUUCAAACUGUUAUGUUGGUAUUGUCUCAAUUCCAAGGAGCUUUGGUUGUUCUUCUCAAUAAAAAUUCUGCUUCAAUAAUGGUGCUUCAUUUCCAUUAUUCUAAAAUUCCCUUCAGUCUGCCUUUUAAGUGAAUUUUAUUAUCUUAAGAUAAAAUUAUCUAGAACUUAUUUGAACUAUGGAUCAUUUUGAGUCAGCUAUCCAAUCUUUUAAAAUUUUGAUUUUACUAUCAAAUCUUUCAAUAUAUUUAUUUUGACUUAGUCAACAACAUUUUAAAUUCAAAAUUUAAGUUAAUUGGUUACUUCAAUAAAUUUAUAGUUGCAAAAAUUACAUGAAGUAUAUAUUGACUAAACCCGUAAAGAUAAACGAUGCAUUCCAAUUUUGAAGUUAAAACACCGUUGACUUACUCAAAUCAAAUAAAUUGAUAAAUUAAAUACUAAAAUCAAAAUUUUUAAAGAAUAGAUAGUCAACUCAAAAUGAUUUAUAGUUUGUAAUAAAUUUUGCACGUUUCACCUUAUCUUAACUCAAUUGUAGAAAUAUCAUAGUGUGGAAUGUAUAAAUAUUCUUUUGAUUUACAAAAGCCAUUUAUUGUGUGAGUGCAUGCAUUCUAUUUGCUCAUGCUGAAAAUAAGUACAUUUGAUCAGGCAAUCAACUGAUCAAAAGUCAGAUCCUUCAAUUGAUCCUUUCAGUUCUAUUAGAAGGAUCGGUUUAUUUUUUUGAAGAGAAAGGUAGCAUAUUACCGGCUUCCUUUAUUUUUUUUAGAAAAAAUUAGUUUGAAAUGUAAAGCAAUUAAAAUUUUGAAUUUGGGAUCUCAGAUAUCAACUACCAUGCCCUUGAGUCGUUUGUCACUUGUGCUAGGCACAGCUGGUUAGUAAGAUGGUUUAUGAUCUUUUUGUUGUGAGAGUUUGUCGAUCACUUUCGGGCCGUCGACCAAUUCACAGUGAAAGUUUUUAUUUUGAGAAAGAGGUAGCACGCUAUCCGCUUUAUUAAAAAAAAAAAUUAUCACAGUCAAAGUUACCUGGUUUUUUUCCUGAAACAAAGCCCUCUUUGGUUAGCUACUCCUGUAUCAAUAAUUUGAACAUUUUAGUCUUAAAAAAAAAAACAACAACUAAUCUGAACAUUUUGCUGAUAUAAACCUCUCAAUUAACUAAGCAACCAGGCUUCAUUGCUUAGCUGCAGUUUGGUUUCUAGGAAAAUCAUGAAAAGAAAUUGUGGAAAAGAUGUUUUUCAUGAAAAACUUUUUUUCAAACUUUUUUUUGGCCCAUUUGGUUCUAACUUUUUCAUGAUUUUUCUAACUUUUUUUCUUCUUUUUUCUUUUUUCUACAAAGGCUCUGAUUGCCUCACCUCUGUAGCCUAGUUCAUCAAUCCAAUUAAUGAAACGGAUAGCGUGCUACCUUUUUCCUCAAAAAAAACUUUUUUUUGGCCCAUUUGGUUCUAAGAAAAAUUUGUUUUUUAAGAAAUUUUUUUCUUGAUUUUACCAAAAAAUUAUUGUUUUUGUUUGCUUUUUUUUUUUGAAAAAAACGAAAACAAUAGUUUUCCAUGAAAUAUGGAAAUUCUUUUUUCCAAAUAAAGCUUUUUUUUAAAAUCAAAGAGGUGGAAAACUGAAAAAAAAAAUUCAGAAUAUAUUCUAUAAUAUCAUAUUUUGCAUACCACAAUGUCAUUCUAUAUAUAAAAAAAAGAAAAGCCAUAUUUAUGUAUGCUUUCGCCUUACUUCCAUUAAUAAGUAGACCUUAAUACCAAACAGAUCCUAACUCUACAACGUGACCCAAUUGAAAAUAUGACUAAAAGUCAACAUGCUUUUAAAGCCUAUUACACCCUAGUUCAUAUGUAGAAUCGAGCCCAGUAUAGACCUUAAACAAAGCCCAAAUACUGACCCUUGCAAUUUUAUGUUUCUUCUUUCUCUUUUCUCAAAGCCUAAAUAAAUUUAAGGUAUCUAAAUUUUCAUGUGUACACAUACACCUAAGCAAAAUACGACAAGAAAGUAGAAUAGCAAAACAAUCGAUAUCACAAUGAGUCCAUUAUGAUAUAUUUUCUACCGUCCCUAAUGAAAAAUUAAAAAGUAUAUUUUUAUAUAUUUUUGUUCCAAUUCUGUAGUGUUUUUAUUAGCAUUAUAAGCCUUCAUACUAAACGGGCGCUUUAUCUGUUGGUCCAUUUAAUUUGAUCUUGAGUUUUAGUGGCUGAAUUUGGAUUUUAGGCCUUUGUUUGGUAUUUCUUAGUUGCUUCUCCUCAUAUUUUUGAAGACUCUCGCUAUUCUUUUGUGAUCAUCAGCUACAAUAAAGAGUGGCUUGUUGUCCUCUUGUUUAUUUAUUAUUCAGUUGUGUUGUAUUCAGUUAAAUAAAAUUUGCCUAUAUAUUAUGGGUGUUCUCCAUAAAAAUAUGUGAUCUAAAAGUUAGAGAAGUGAAAAACUCAUUCCGCUAGUGAAAAUCCAUUCAACCCAAAAGUUUAAGCCUGGUGGGUGAGACAUAUUAAUAAACAUUGAAUUUAUUAGUCUUUUGUUAAUUAUUCGAUAUGAAACUAUAAACAAGUGAAAUUCUAACACUAAGGACCCUUCAAAUUAGGAUUGGAGUGGGCAAACUGAGUAGUUGAGCACAAAACAAGCAAAUCUCUCCUUUUCUUUUCAUAAUGUUUUUCUAAUUGAUACAAUGGUAGGUAUGUACAAAUAUCCACUUCUCUCUAUAUUAUGAAAGUUUUUACAGCUCUAAACUAAUUUUCAACAAUAGGACAUUGGAAACGUCUAUCCAUACUAUUGAACAUUAUCUUAAAUAGUUGUAGUUUAAUUGAACCCGCAAAAUAGAACAAUUUUUUGUCAAAUGUAUUCUAACUUUACUUCUUCUAUAUACAAAACAAUAAAUGUCAUAUGCCAGCCGUCAAAAUUUAUGUUUGGAAUAGUUUGAAUAUAAAGUAGAAAAAUACUAGAACAUUAGGGCAUUCACUUUCUAAAGUAACAGUAUUGAUUAUAAUAGAUGAUGAGAAGGAAAGCAAAGAGAAUUAAUCUGCUGAGGUAAAAAUGUGCGGAGACCCCUCGCCUAUCGGCCAUUUUGAAAUAACCCUCUCAAUUUUAAUCUUUUUCGUAUUGGUGAGCUUUUUCAGUUAGCUAAGUUAGAAACUCUGCAAUAUUUGACAAUUCUAUUAGCUAUCAGUAGUUAAUUGUUUUAGUUUAAAAUGAAUCAAAACUAUUACUUUUGAUAAAAAACACUUGUGAACUCGAUAAAAUUUACUCAACCAUGAAAGAUCAAAAUUUAUAGUUGAAGGGGUCUUCAUGCAUUUUUACCAUCUACAAAUUGAUGGAUACUUGUGGCCACUAAUUAAUACUUACUACGAUGGGCAAUGACCACUUAAGAUAUAGUUAAAUUAAAUCAAUUGGAUAAGAUAUUGUUAAUCAAAGCAAUUAGAUCUUUCAAAGUUAGUGCUCCAAGUUUAUGCUCAACACAAAAAAGAAAGUAAAAAUGAAAAUAAAAAUAAAGUUAGUGCUCAAAGGAGUGCAUCUUUUAGCAACACAUUUCAUACUAACUGCACACAUUUUGCCGCACGCUUUUUUUGAUGACUCACCUGAAUCCGGCUCGUCACUGUAAGCCUUUCGGUUCGGCAUGAUCCUUUCCGAGUUAGGGCCUUCUGCUUAAAAGUAAAAAACCCUUAUGUAGUAUGCUACUCGCUUCGUUUAUUUUAUUUAGAAAUAAAUUUAGCUAAAAAUUUGAAUCAACUAGAAUUCGAACUUGGGAUCUCGGGUGCCAACCACCAAGUUUUUUGCCACUUGCGCUAGGGACGGUCGGUCCUAUAUUCGCUUCUACAACUCAUUAAGAUUAAAAUUUUUUUUUAAUAAAAUUAGAAAAUAAUUUGACCUGGGGCGCCGAGCUAUCUCUUCCUGGCCCAUCUAGCUAUGUUGUGCUUUGCUUGGUCUUGUUUAGCUUUGCUGAUUCUUCUUUACCCAGCUUUGGGUCCUUUCUCAUUUGCCUUAUUUGACUAUGUGUUUCCCUUCCUCAAAUAGGGUAUACUUCUGUUUAAUCAAAAAAAAAGAAAGAAAAGAAAAUAAUUUGACUAAAUUUAAUUGGCUAAUGAAAAUAGAAUAUGCUUUGAAAAAAAUAGGGUUUAAGAGAGAUAUAUCUAACACAAGCAAUGCUAGUAUACCUAGAAAGGAAGUGUCCUUUGUAUAAAGGGCAAUAUUUGAUACUUAUUUUAUUAAUUUUUUUGAGUGAAUUAAGAACUAAGUUUGCUAUCAAAAGGGGUUGUAUUUUCUAUAACUCCUCAUCCGAAAAUUGUAGAAUUUUUUUGAGUGAACAACUCAGUUUGCUAUUUUUUUUAAAAAAAAAAGUUAUUGUAGGAAUAUAAUACAAAGUUGACAAUCGAACUAGCAUUAAUGUAGAAAGUUUUAAAAUAUUCUUUAAACCUCAGGACGGCGUGUAACGUGCAAAGAGGUACUAAUAAUUAAUUUGGCUGCACAGCUAUUGUUCUCAACCGACAAAGCCGUUCGUUGGAACGUGCAAAGAUGUCUCCGUCAAUUGCUUAUAAAAAUAACAUGGCAUAAUAAAGUCAACUUAAAGGCAUAGACUAUCUUCUUCUGAAUCAAGAGCAGCAGAUAGAUCUCUGGCCAUAGCUGAACUCGAAACAGUUUGCAAAGCAAGAAGAAUUUGAUCGAGCACGAUCACCCAAAUGGCGACGCUGGACGCUCUGUUCGGAAACUGCUCAGAGAAGCUCGCUGCUUUAAUCCAGGAUGAGGUGGCGAUGAUUCUCGGAGUGAAGGAAGAGCUCGCGACGCUGCAGAGGAGGAUGAAGCGGAUCGGCGGCGCGCUGAAGAAAGUAGGGCGGGAGAGGACCGAAGAUGCCGCUUGGNGCCCCACGCUGCUGAAGGCGCCGUUGCCACAGCGUCCACCGCCCAAGUUGCCCGACGCUGCCCGAGCCGCAUCUGCCAUCGCCGCCCGAGCUGCUAAGCCCGAGCCGAACGCCAAUCGAACCGACGCCGCGUGCACCAUCAACACCAUCUUGCCUGUUGCCGUUGCCGCUGAAGCCGAGGUCGCAACGUCUCAAUUGAUUUGAUUGCUUCGGGAAUGGGGAGCAAGAAAAAAACAUUAAAAGGAAAAAAAAUAGAGUGUUGUUUCUUUGCUUACUCUGAAGUGUACCCCAUAAAUUUUUUAAUGAUAUUUUGAGUUAAAUUAAAAAAAUGAUGAGACUUGCAUAUUGUUAAAAGACGCAAAGAGAGAGCGCCCGGUCAUCCACAUCUUCUUCAAUUGCAAAGCAAAACAAAAACAAAGAAAAAAGAGAGGAAAAAGAGCAAAAAUUGUAUAUAUAUAUAUAUAUAUAUAUAUAGAAAUAAUUUUUUUUUUUGUCCGCCGACUUUUCAUGUUACCAAAAACAAUUUAUUAAAAAAAUAAACUUUUUCACCAUUUCAAAAAAAAAAUUUGUCUUUUUGCAUCUUUUUCUCUCUCCCAUCUAAAAAUCUUUUUGCUUUUCAAUCUUCGUAAGAAAUAAUAUAUUAAAAAAAAUUUUAUCUUUUCAAGAGAUAAUCAAAGCUUCAAAAGCUCAGUUUCUAUCUUCAUUCCUUGAUUUUGAUCUCAUAUAAUUUUGAAGUUAGUUUUCAUGAACAAAAGAGUAAUAUUUUGAGUUUUGAAUUUUGGGUUAGCAACUAUUUUAAUAUUAAGAAGUUAAUAAUUUUUCCGAAUGUAUUUAGUAUGAAUUUAAAAUUUAAAAUUUAAAAUUUAAAAUAAUUAUAUAUUAAUUUAUUAAAGUUUAUAUCAAAAUAUUAGUGUCAAAAUUGUCCGCAGCGAAGCCCGGAUUCAACACUAGUAUAAUACAAAGUUGACAAUACAAAGUUGACAAUCGAACUAGCAUUAAUGUAGAUAGUUUUAAAAUAUUCUUUAAACCUCAGGACGGCGUGUAACGUGCAAAGAGGUACUAAUACUUAAUUUGGCUACACAGCUAUUGUUCUCAACUGACAAAGCCGUUCGUUGGAACGUGCAAAGAUGUCUCUGUCAAUUGCUUAUAAAAAUAACAUGGUAUAAUUAAGUCAACUGAUCAAAGGCCUAUCUUCUUCUGAAUCAAGAGCAGCAGCAUAGAUCUCUGGCCAUAGCUGAACUCGAAACAUUUUGCAAAGCAAGAAGAAUUUGAUCGAGCACCAACACGCAAAUGGCGACGCUGGACGCUCUUCUCGGAAACUGCUCAGAGAAGCUCGCUGCUUUAAUCCAAGAUGAGGUGGCGAUGAUUCUCGGAGUGAAGGAAGAGCUCGCGAACCUGCAGAGGAGGAUGAAGCGGAUCGACGACGCACUGAAGAAGGCAGGGCGGGAGAGGACCGAAGAUACCGCUUGGCUGAAUGAGCUGCAAAGUAUCUUGCAUGAAGCAAACAAUGUCUUUGACGACCUCAGGUAUGAGCUGCCGUCCGCAUCUUCAUCAGUUCUGUCGAUUCUCUGCUGCCUUCCUAUGUUCUCUUUCUUCAACUUCAUUCGUGCUCGUCACAACUUAGCCAAUAGAAUCAGAGCCCUCAACAAUAGAAUCGAUGAAGUUGCAAAGGACCAGUGGAUCUUUAGUCUUGAGUCGGCAAAGACGGUGGGUCAAGUGGCGAGCAUGUCGUCCACGCGCGAGACUUGUGAGAUCAUGGAAUCCGACGUCGUCGGGAGAGAGAUCGAUGAUGCUACCGACGAAUUGGUCGAGAUGAUAGUCACGAACAACCGACGGACUUUUCAAGUGAUUGCUGUAGCAGGCAUGGGAGGGAUCGGCAAGACCACGCUCGCUCAGAAGGUGUACAACAACCCGAGAAUUGGAGACCACUUCCAGGUAAGAAUUUGGAUUUGCGUCACCCAAAAAUAUUCAGAUGUUCGAUUAACGCAGGACAUCAUUCGAAAAGCCGGAGGAAGUUGCGGCACUGCCGAACGGCUCUGCGAAUUGCUCCCUAUUCUCUGCCGGACUCUUGGAGGGCGGAGCAUCUUUCUCGUGCUGGAUGAUGUAUGGCGAUCGGACGUAUGGACCGAUUUACUCCGAAACCCGCUGCAAAAUGGAGCAGCUAGUGGAUGUGUUCUGGUGACCACAAGAGACCAGAACGUUGCGAUGAGAAUGGGGGCGAAACACAUUCACUGGGUGGAGAAAAUGACUGUUGAUUCAGGCUGGGAGUUGCUUUGUAAGAGAACAUAUCUCGAAGAAGAAGGAGAAGAUGUGCAAUGUUUGAGAAGUGUGGGGGUUCAAAUUGUUAACAAAUGCGGCAGCCUUCCGCUUGCAAUUAAAGUGAUUGCCGGUGUCUUAACCACCAAGGAGAAAAGCAGAAAAGAGUGGGAGAAAGUUCUCAGAAGCAAUGCUUGGUCUAUGAGUGAGCUUCCUGAGGAAUUCAGGGGUGCUCUCUACUUGAGUUACGACGAUUUGCCGCCUUAUCUGAAGCAAUGCUUUCUUUCUUUUUGCCUUUACCCUGAGGAUUAUGGACACCGCAUUUGCGAUCUUCGCAAGAUGUGGGUGGCAGAGGGGUUUGUCAAGCAAGAAGAAGGUUUAAUAAUGGAAGAGUUAGCCGAUCAAUACUACUCCGAGCUAAUACGUAGGAGUCUACUACAACCUGAUCCUCGUUAUGUGGAUCAGGGCAUGUGCACAGUACACGAUCUCUUGCGAUCUCUCGCUCAAUAUUUGUCACGAGGUGAAAGUUACUAUGGAGAUCCACAGUCCUUGGAUGCUACUGCAAUCUCAAAGCUUGCGCGCUUGUCAAUUGCUGAGAACGGAGAGAUUGUUACAAUCCCUGGUCCAAACACUGAGCAGCUACGCUUGAGGACAUUACUACUAUUUAAGAGUCCACCUAGAAUUGAGCACAAUCUUUUCUCUAGAGUUCCAUACCUCCAAGUGCUGCUUCUUAAUGGAGAAGGGAUAGAAUGCAUUCCUGAUAGUGUGGGAAGUCUAAUAAACCUUCGAUUGUUAGAUCUUGAUCGGACUAGCAUAUCCAGGCUGCCGGACUCUAUCGGCUUCCUAACGAAUUUGCAGAUUUUAAACUUACGAGAUUGCAAAUUUCUAAACACACUUCCAAGGGGCAUCACUUGCUUAUGCAGUCUUAGACAGCUUGGCCUUUUUGGGACCCCUUUAAGAAGUGUCCCCGAAGGAAUAGGGAGACUACAACUGCUCAAUGACCUCAGUGGAUUUGUUAUUAAUGCAGACGGUAGUUGCAAUACCGAACAAAAUAGUUGGGACUUGGAAGAAAUGAGAUCACUAGGCCAACUAAGGUUGCUCCAAUUAUCUAUUUUGGGGGGGGGACAGAAUGCAAGUUCCGUGCAGUCCACUGAUGACAUAAUAGAUCAACCGCUGACGGUAACUCAUCUAAGGAAUAGGGCUUUUGUACUUGAAGAUAAAGCCUUCCUAAAAUAUCUAGCUAUAUCCUGCACACCGCAGACGGAGAGGGCAGAAGCACUGCCAUACACAGAGGAGGAAAUCAGUAAUAUUGAAGACACCUUUGAGAAAUUGCACCCUCCAACUUGUUUAGAAACAUUAUUUCUCGCCAACUUUUACAGUCAUCAUAUGCCGAGUUGGUUGCUGUCGUCAUCUUUGGGUACUUAUCUUCCUCAUCUAACAUACGUGAAAUUCAUAGGUUUGCCACUAUGCCCACAAAUUCCACCUCUAGGCCAAUUGCCGCAUUUGAGGUUUCUCCGAAUCGAAGAUGCUUUGGCAAUUGUAACUAUUGGUCCAGAAUUACUCGGUAAUGGGGUUGGUGACGGGGUGCACGCAACAACAGCCUUUCCUAAGCUUGAAUUUCUUAUCAUGAAAGGCAUGCCUAAUUGGGAAGAAUGGUCCUUAGUUGGCAGUGAAACAGGAAACUCAUCAUCUUGCUCACUUCGAGUUAUGCCUCGUUUAGAGCAGUUGUAUGUGAUAGAUUGCCCAAAACUUAGAGCACUUCCAAAAGGUUUGCAGCAACUCAGAGCACUCCGGAUUUUGCGCGCUACAAGGGCUCAUAGCCUAAGUGUAAUUGAGGACUUCCUAUUCAUUACUGAGCUUAAAAUCUACAUAAAUAAUGGCAUGGAAAGGGUCUCAAAUCUUCCUGCACUAAGGAAGCUCACCAUUUAUGACACUCCGGCUCUAAAGUGCGUCGAUAAUUUGGUUGCACUACAAUACCUAGAGUUGGAAGAUUAUUCUAUGAAGUCCCUCCCAGAAUGGUUGUUGAGACUGGUCCAGCAACGCGCGCAUCUUCGCGACGAAAACCUCCAACUUGUGAUGCGCUGCAAGGCUGCCGUAAUUCAGAGAUGCCUUAGGGGAGGGCCAGACUGGCCUAUCAUCGAGUGCUUUUCUCGUGUCAGCGCCUACACCAAAGAUAGAUCAGCAUAUCUGGAAUAUACCAAGCAAAGUGGGUGCUAUCGAACUAAUCAAUGAAGGUAACAUCGGUGAAAACUUUCCUACUUCUCUUCUCAUUUUCCUUUUUUUUUCCUUCUCGAUUAGUCGUCUUGUACUUCAAACUAUUAUGUUUGGCAUCAUCUCAAUUCUCAAACUUAACUGCAUUCAUUAUCUAUGCUAGUUCAUGAUAUUUCCCUAGUUUUCUCUCUAUUCCUAGGAGCUUGCAUAAAUGCCUGGCUAGCUAAGCGCGCUUUGCUUGUUUUUUAAAAUAAAAUUCUGCUUCAAUAAUGGUGCUUCAUUUCCAUUAUUCUAAAAUUUCCUUCAGUCUCCCUUUCAAGUGAGUUUCAUUGUCUUAAGAUAAAGUUAUACAGAAUUUAUCUGAACUAUGAAUCGCUUUGAGUCAGCUAUCUAAUCUUUCUAAAUUUUGAUUUUACUAUUCAAUUUUUUAAUUUAUUUGAUUUUAGUGGGUCAGUACCACUUUGACUUCAAAAUUUAAACUAACUGAUUAAUUUAAUAAAUUUAUAGUUGUGAAAAUCACAUAAAAUAUGUUAACUAAAUCUGUAAAGAUAAACGACACAUUCAAAUUUUGAAGAUAAAUGCCGUUGACUAAACUCAAAUCAAAUAAAUUGAAAUAUUAAAUACUAAAAUCAAGAUUUUGAAAGGUUGGAUAGUUAACUCAAGAUGGUUUAUAGUUCGAAUAAAGUUUGCAUGUUUCACCUUAUCUUAACUCAAUUGUAGAAAUAUAUAUCAUAGUGUGGAAUGUAUAUGUAUUCUUUUGAAUUUACAAAAGCCAUUUAUUCUGUGUUUGCAUUUAUUCUAUUUGCAUGCUGAAAAAUAAGUACAUUUGAUCAGGCAAUCAACUGAUCAAAAGUCAGAUCUUUCAACUGGUCCUUCCAGUUCUAUUAGUAAAAAGUUUUUUUUUCUUUUUUUCUUUUUUUUUUUUUGAGAGAAAGAUAAGGUGCUAUUUAUUUUUUUUAGAAAAUACUUAGCUGGAAAUAUAAAGCAACUAAGCUUUGAACUUAAAAUCUUGGAUACCAACCAUUAUACCCUUUGUCACUUAUAUUAGAGAUGGUUGGUUAGUAAGAUCAGUUUACGAUCUUUUUGUUGCGAGAGUUUGUCGAUCAUUUUCGGGCCGUCGCCUAAUUCACAGUCAAAGUAAACUGGUUUUUUUUUCCUGAAACAAAGCCCUCUUUGGUUAGCUACUCCUGUGUCAAUAAUUUGAACAUUUUAGUCUCAAAGAAAAAAAAAGAAAACAACCCCAACUAAUGUGAACAUUUUGCUUAUAUGAACCUCUCUAUUAAUUACUAAGAACCCAGGCUUCAUUACUUAGCUGCUGUUUGAAAAGCAUGAAAAAAAAUUGUGGAAAAGAUGUGUUUCAUGAAAAACUUCUUUUCUAAUUUUUUUUGGCCAAUUUGGUUCUAAGAAAAAACUAGGUUUUUCAGAAAUUUUUUUUAUUGAUUUUACCAAAAAAUUAUUGUUUUCAUUUGCAAUUUAAAAAUAAAAAAAACGAAAACAAUAGUUUUCCAUGAAAUAUGAAAAAUGUUCUUCAAAAAAAGCUCUUUUUUUUUUAACCAAAGAGGUGGAAAACUAGAAAAAAAAAAAAUUUCAAAAUAUAUCUUGUAAUAUCACGUUCUGCAUACCAUAAUGUCAUCCUAUAAAAAAAAAAAAAAAAAACCAUUAUGAAUACUAAACGGACCCUAACUCUAUAACAUGCUUGUAAAGCUUAGUACACCCUAGUUCAAAUGUAGGAUCGAGCCCAGGAUAGGGCUUAAACAAAGCCCAGAUAUUGAUCCAUGCAACUUUAUGUUUCUUCUUUCUCUUUUCUCAGAGCCUAAAUAAAUUUUUAAGGUUUCUAAAUUUUCCUGUAUACACAUACACCGAAGCAAAAUAUAAUAAGAAAGUAGAAUAGCAAAACAUUCUAUAUCGCAAUGAGUCGAUUAGACCAUAUUUUCUACAAUCCUCAAAGAAAAACUAAAAGGUAUAUUUUUAUAUAUUUGUGUCCUAAUUCUGUAUUGUCUAUUAGAAUUAAAUAAGCCUUCAUACUAAACGGGCGCUUUAUCCGUUGGUCCGUUUAGUGUGAUCUUGGGUUUUAGUGGCUGAAUUUGGAUUUUAGGCCUUUGUUUGGUAAUUCUUAAUUAGUUGCUUCUCCUAUAUAAUAUUUUUGAAGAUUCUCGCCACCCUUUUGUGAUCAUCAGCCACAAUAAAGAGUGGCUUGUUGUCCUCUUGCUUAUUUGUUAUUCAGUUGCGUUGUAUCCAGUUAAAUAAAUUUGCCUAUAUAUUAUGAGUGUUCUCCAUAAAAAUACGUGAUCUGAAAGUUAGAGAAGUGGCAAAGGGCUAGUUGGCAAAGGGCUAGGUGAUCUGACCAUUCCUAGAGCAAGUGGCAAAGGGUUAGGUGGUUGGUACUUAAGACCCAAGUUCGAAUCCUAAUUGAUUCACAUUUUCAGCCAAGUUUAUUUCUAAAUGAAAUAAACAAAGCGGGUAGCGACUACCUACCUCUCAAAAAAAAAAAAGAAGUUAGAGAAGUGAAAAACUCAUUCCGCUAGUAAAAAUCCAUUCAACCUAAAAACUUAAGCCCGGUGGACUAGACCCAUUAAUAAACAUCGAAUUUAUUAGUUUCUUGUUAAUUAUUCGAUAUGAAACUAUUAACAAGUGAAAUUCUAAUACUAAAAGACCCUUCGAAUUAGGAUUGGAGUGGGCAAACUGAGUAGGAGAGCACAAAACAAGCAAAUCUCUCCUUUUUCUUUUCAUAAUAUUUUUUUAGUUGAUAUGGUGGCAAGCAUGUACAUGUAUUCACUUCUCUCCAUAUUAUGGAAGUUUUUACAGCUCCAAACUAAUUUUCAACGUUAGAACAUUUGAAAUGUCUUUCCAUACUAUUGAACAUUAUCUUAAAUAGUUGUAAUUUAAUUGAACUGGUAAAAUGGAACAAGUUUUUGUCGAAGGUAUUCUAACUUUACUUUUUCUAUAUAUAAAACGAUAAAUGCCGUAUGAUAGCUGUCAAAAUUUAUGUUUGGAAUAGUUUGAAUAUAAUAAAGUAGAAAAGUACUAAAACAUUACCAAGUUCACUUUCUAAAGAAUUCAAAUAUUGUAGAUUACAUCUAACAGUAUUGAUUAUCAUUUAGAUACUCUGUUAUUCGAAAUCAAGUUAUUAAGCAAACGUCUUGAUGUAAUUAAUUAAUUAAUAAUGCAUAAUCUUUUUUUUUUUGAGAUAAAAGCUAGGAUUAAUAUCUGUUUUAUUUAUAGCGAAUAUAAACUGAGCUACAGUAGUGGGGCAACUGCCCCAAAAAUCAAAAGCUUUUUGAACAAGAGCACGCAAAAAAACACAAAAAAAAAAAAAUAGUUAGUUUAUAAUGCAGAAUCUAGCUAACCUAUGUAAUUUAUAUAUGUGUUAGUUCACCACUCAUGCAGGUCUCUGACAAUUCUAACAGAAGUUAAUGAUGAUUCCCUGAUCAUCAUUUACUUUCCUUCCCCCAAUUGAUGACACCACAACACUCCCAUGAUUUGAUAAGAAAUUUUCCCAUCCCUCCAAAGUGAUAUGUAUCUUUUUUUCUUCAAAAAAAAAAAAAAAAANCCAAAUCAUAUUGGCACUUCACAAAGAUAAGCAACUUUUUUGAUGCCUAGCAUUGAAAAGUAGAUGAAGCCACUAAAAUGUGUCUUUCCUUAGCUUAGUUGACAUCUCCAAAAUAUAUAAAUUUAUAUACCACUUCUUAUCCCUCCAACUUAAUCUUCUCCCCUUUUUAUAAUAGAUGAUGAGAAGGAAAGCAAAGAGAAUUAAUCUACUAAGGUAAAAAUGUGCAGAGACCCCUCGCCUAUCGGCCAUUCUGAAAUAACCCUCUGAAUUUUAAUCGCUUUUUCUAUCGGUGAGCUUUUUCAGUUAGUUAAACUAUCAGUAGUUAAUUGUUUUAGUUUAUUUACUGAAAAAUGAAUCAAAACUAUUACUUUUGAUGUGAACUCAAUAAAAUUUACUCAAGAGCGAAAGAUCAAAAUUUAUAGUUGAAGGGGUCUUCAUGCAUUUUUACCAUCUACAAAUUUAUAGAAUUCGAGCUUGGGACCUCGGGUGCCAACCACCAAGUUUUUUGCCACUUGCGCUAGGGACGGUCUGUCCUAUAUUCGCUUCUAAAGCUCAUUAAGAUUAAAACUUUUUUUUAAUAAAAUUAGAAAAUAAUUUGACCUGGGGCGCCGAGCUAUCUCUUCCUGGCCCAUCUAGCUAUGUUGUGCUUUGCUUGGUCUUGUUUAGCUUUGCUGAUUCUUCUUUACCCAGCUUUGGGUCCUUUCUCAUUUGCCUUAUUUGACUAUGUGUUUCCCUUCCUCAAAUAGGGUAUACUUCUGUUUAAUCAAAAAAAAAGAAAGAAAAGAAAAUAAUUUGACUAAAUUUAAUUGGCUAAUGAAAAUAGAAUAUGCUUUGAAAAAAAUAGGGUUUAAGAGAGAUAUAUCUAACACAAGCAAUGCUAGUAUACCUAGAAAGGAAGUGUCCUUUGUAUAAAGGGCAAUAUUUGAUACUUAUUUUAUUAAUUUUUUUGAGUGAAUUAAGAACUAAGUUUGCUAUCAAAAGGGGUUGUAUUUUCUAUAACUCCUCAUCCGAAAAUUGUAGAAUUUUUUUGAGUGAACAACUCAGUUUGCUAUUUUUUUUAAAAAAAAAAGUUAUUGUAGGAAUAUAAUACAAAGUUGACAAUCGAACUAGCAUUAAUGUAGAAAGUUUUAAAAUAUUCUUUAAACCUCAGGACGGCGUGUAACGUGCAAAGAGGUACUAAUAAUUAAUUUGGCUGCACAGCUAUUGUUCUCAACCGACAAAGCCGUUCGUUGGAACGUGCAAAGAUGUCUCCGUCAAUUGCUUAUAAAAAUAACAUGGCAUAAUAAAGUCAACUUAAAGGCAUAGACUAUCUUCUUCUGAAUCAAGAGCAGCAGAUAGAUCUCUGGCCAUAGCUGAACUCGAAACAGUUUGCAAAGCAAGAAGAAUUUGAUCGAGCACGAUCACCCAAAUGGCGACGCUGGACGCUCUGUUCGGAAACUGCUCAGAGAAGCUCGCUGCUUUAAUCCAGGAUGAGGUGGCGAUGAUUCUCGGAGUGAAGGAAGAGCUCGCGACGCUGCAGAGGAGGAUGAAGCGGAUCGGCGGCGCGCUGAAGAAAGUAGGGCGGGAGAGGACCGAAGAUGCCGCUUGGUUGAAUGAGCUGCAAAGUAUCUUGCAUGAAGCGAACGAUGUCUUUGACGAACUCAGGUAUGAGCUGCCGUCCGCAUCUUCAUCAGUUCUGUCGAUUCUCUGCUGCCUUCCUAUGUUCUCUUUCUUCAACUCCAUUCGAGUUCGUCACAACUUAGCCGAUAGAAUCAGAGCCCUCAACAAUAGAAUCGACGAGGUCGCGAAGGACCAGUGGAUCUUUAAUCUUGAGCCGGUAAAGACGAUGGGUCGAGUGGCGAGCAUGUCGUCCACGCGCGAGACUUGUGAGAUCAUGGAAGCCGAUGUCGUCGGGAGAGAGAUCGAAGAUGCUGCCGACGAAUUGGUCGAGAUGAUAGUCACGAACAACCGAAGAAAUUUUCAAGUGACUGCUGUAGCAGGCAUGGGAGGGAUCGGCAAGACCACGCUCGCUCAGAAGGUGUACAACAACCCGAGAAUUGGAGACCACUUCCAGGUAAGAAUUUGGAUUUGCGUCACCCAGAAAUAUUCAGAUGUUCGACUGCUACAGGAGAUCACUCGAGAAGCAGGAGGUAGUCACGGAAGUGCCGAACGAGUUUCAAAACUGCUCCCUAUUCUCAGCCAGACCCUUGGAGGGAGGAGCAUCUUUCUCGUGCUGGACGAUGUAUGGCGAUCGAACGUAUGGACUGAUUUACUCCAAAACCCGCUACAAAAUGGAGCAGCUAGCGGAUGUGUUCUGGUAACCACGAGAGACCAGGACGUUGCGAUGAGAAUGGGCGCGAAACACAUUCACCGGGUGGGGAAAAUGACUGUUGAUUCAGGCUGGGAGUUGCUUUGCAAGAAAACCUAUCUAGAAGAAGAAGGAGAAGAUGCGCAAAGUUUGAGAAGUGUGGGGGUUCAAAUUGUUAACAAAUGCGGCGGCCUUCCGCUUGCAAUCAAAGUGAUUGCCGGUGUCUUAGCCACCAAGGAGAAGAGCAGAAAAGAGUGGGAGAAAGUUCUCAGAAGCAAUGCUUGGUCUAUGAGUGAGCUUCCUGAGGAAUUCAGGGGUGCUCUCUACUUGAGUUACGAUGAUUUGCCGCCUCAUCUGAAGCAAUGCUUUCUUUCCUUAUGCCUUUACCCUGAGAAUGAUGUACACUUCAUUCAUAAGCUUCGCACGAUGUGGGUGGCAGAGGGGUUUGUCAAGCAAGAAGAUGGUUCAAUAAUGGAAGAGUCAGCCGAGCAAUACCACUCCGAGCUAAUACGUAGGAGUCUGCUACAACCUGAUCCUCUUUCUGUGGAUCAGAGCAAAUGCACAAUACACGAUCUCUUGCGAUCUCUCGGUCAAUAUUUGUCACGAGGUGAAAGCUACUAUGGAGAUUCACAGUCCUUGGAUGCUACUGCAAUCUCAAAGCUUCGCUGCUUGUCAAUUGCUGAGAUCGGAGAGAUUGUUACAAUCCCUGGUCCAGAAACUGAGCGACUACGCUUGAGGACAUUACUACUAUUUAAGAGUCCACCUAGAAUUGAGCACAAUCUUUUCUCUAGAGUUCCAUACCUCCAAGUUUUGAUUCUUAAUGGAAAAGGGAUUGAAUGCGUUCCUGAUAGUGUGGGAAGUCUAAUACACCUCCGAUUGUUAGAUCUUGAUCGGACUAGCAUAUCCAAUCUGCCGGACUCUAUUGGAUUCCUAACAAAUUUGCAGACUUUAAACUUACAAGAUUGCAAAUUUCUGAACACACUUCCAAGGAGCAUCACUCACUUAUGCAGUCUUAGACGGCUUGGCCUUGUUGGUACCCCUUUAAGAAGUGUCCCCGCAGGAAUAGGGAGACUGCAACUGCUCAAUGACCUCAAAGGAAUCAUUAUUAAUGCAAAUGAUAGUUGCAAUACCGAACAAAACAGUUGGGACUUGGAAGAAUUAGAAUCACUUGGCCAACUAAGGUGGCUCCGAUUACAUAUUUUGGAAAGGAAACGGAAUGCAAAUUCCGUGCAGUCCACUGAUGACAUAAUAAAUCAACCGCCGACCGUAACUCAUCCAAGGAAUAGGGCUUUUGUACUUCAAGAUAAAGCCUUCCUAAAACAACUAGCUAUAGUCUGCAGAUCACAGAUGGAGAGGGUAGAAAUGCCCCCAUACACAGAAGAGGAGAUCAAUAAGAUUGAAGAUAUCUUUGAGAAAUUGCACCCUCCAACUUGUUUAGAACAAUUAUGGGUCGGCAACUUUUACGGUCAGCAUAUUCCGAGUUGGAUGCUGUCAUCGUCUUUGGGUACUUGUCUUCCUUAUCUAACUUUUGUGAAUUUCUUAGGUUUGCCACUAUGCCUACAACUUCCACCUCUAGGCCAAUUGCCGCAUUUGAGGUAUCUCCGAAUCCGAAAUGCUUUUGCGAUUGUAGCUAUUGGUCCAGAAUUACUCGGUAUUGGGGUUGGUGACGGGGUGCACGCAGCAACAGCCUUUCCUAAGCUUGAAUUUCUUAUCAUGGAAGGCAUGCGUAAUUGGGAAGAAUGGUCUUUAGUUGGCAGUGAAACUGGAAACUCAUCAUCUCACUCGCUCCGAGUUAUGCCUCGUCUGGAGGUAUUGUGUGUAAUAGAUUGCCCAAAACUCAGAGCGCUUCCAAAUGGUUUGCAGCAACUCGGAGCACUCCGGAUUUUGCGCACUCCAAUGGCUCAUAGCCUAAGUGUAAUUGAAGACUUCCUGUUCAUAACUGAGCUUGAAAUCAAAAUGAAUGACGGCAUGAAAAGGAUCUCAAAUCUUCCUGCACUAAAGAAGCUCACCAUUUGGGACACUCCGGCUCUAAAGUGCGUCGAUAAUUUGGUUGCACUACAAUGCCUAGAGUUGCAAGAUUAUUCUAUGGAGUCCCUCCCAGAAUGGUUGUUGAGAUUGGUCCAGCAACACGCGCAUCUUCGCGGCAAAAACCUCCAACUUGUGAUGCGCUGCAGCACCGCCGUAAUUCAGAGAUGCCUCAAGGGAGGGCCAGACUGGCCCAUCAUCGAGUGCUUUUCUCGUGUCAGCGCCUACACCAAAGAUAGAUCAGCAUAUCUGGAAUAUACCAAGCAAACUGGGUGCUAUCGAACUAAUCAAUGAAGGUAACAUCGGUGAAAACUUUCCUGCUUCUCUUCUCAUUUUGUUUCUUUUCUAUAUCGAUUAGAUGUUUUGUGCUUCAAACUGUUAUGUUGGUAUUGUCUCAAUUCUCAAACCUAACUGCAUGCGUUAUAUAUCUAUGCUAGUUCAUGAUAUUCUGUAGUUUUCUCUCUAUUCCAAGGAGCUUUGGUUGUUUUUUUAAAUAAAAAUUCUGUUUCAAUAAUUAAUGGUGCUUCAUUUCCAUAUAUUAUUCUAAAAUUCCCUUCUGCCUUUUUAGUGAUUUUUAUUAUCUUAAGAUAAAAUUAUCUGGAACUUAUCUGAACUAUGGAUCAUUUUGAGUCAGUUAUCCAAUCUUUUAAAAUUUUGAUUUUACUAUCAAAUCUAUUAAUUUAUUUAUUUUGAGUGAGUCAACGACACUUUGGCUUCAAAAUUUAAGUUAAUCGGUUACUUUAAUAAAUUUAUAGUUGCAAGAAUUACAUGAAGUAUAUUGACUAAACCUGAAAAGAUAAACGAUGCAUUCCAAUUUUGAAGUUAAAACACCGUUGACUUAUUCAAAUCAAAUAAAUUGAUAAAUUAACUACUAAAAUCAAAAUUUUUAAAGAAUAGAUAGUCAACUCAAAAUGGUUUAUAGUUGGAAUAAAUUAUGCAUGUUUCACCUUAUCUUAACUCAAUUGUAGAAAUAUCAUAGUGUGGAAUGUAUAACUAUUCUUUUGGAUUUGCAAAAACCAUUUAUUGUGUGAUUGCAUGUAUUCUAUUUGCAUGCUGAAAAAAAAGUAUAUUUGAUCAGGCAAUCAACUGAUCAAAAGUCAGAUCCUUCAAUUGAUCCUUUCAGUUCUAUCCGUAAGAUCGGUUUAUUUUUUCAAAAAAAAGCUAGCAUGUUACCGUUUUCGUUUAUUUUUUUUAAAAAAAAAUUAGCUUCAAAUGUAAAGCAACUAGAUUUUUGAAUUUGAAACCUCAGAUAUCAACUACCAUACCUUUUAGUCGUUUGCUACUUGUGUUAGGGACAGUUGGUUAGUAUGAUUGGUUUAUGAUUUUUUUGUUGUGAGAGUUUGUCGAUCACUUUCGGGCCGUUGACUAAUUCACAGUCAAAGUUAAUUGGUUUUUUUCCUGAAACAAAGCCCUCUUUGGUUAGCUAUUCCUGUAUCAAUAAUUUGAACAAAUUAGUCUUUAAAAAAAAAGAAAAAAAAAAAACCAACUAAUCUGAACAUUUUGCUGAUUUGAACCUCACUAUUAACAAAGGACUCAGGCUUCUUUACUUAGUUGCUGUUUGGUUUCUAGAAAAAGCAUGGAAAAAAAAAAUUUGUGAAAAAGAUGUUUUUCAUGAAAAACUUCUUUUCUAAUUUUUUGUUGGCCCAUUGGUUCUAAGAAAAACUAGUUUUUUUAUAAAUUUUUUUCUUGAUUUUACCAAAAAAUUAUUGUUUUCGUUUGCUAAUUUUUGUUUAAAAAAAACGAAAACAAUAGUUUUCCAUGAAAUAUGAAAAAUGUUUUGGUUGUUUCCAUUAUAUAAGCCUAAUUCAUUUUCCUAAUGAAUAAAACGGAUAGCUCGUUAUCUAUUUCUCAAAAAAAAAAGAAAAACUCCUUUUUUUUUUAUGAGGAAUGCUUCAAUACACCGACUAAAUUAAAUCUAGCCGUUCAUAUUUCAAGGGCGAGAUUGACUUUUGCAUAGUGGUUACUUGCUGAACAGGUUACCAUUCGUAAGGAUAAUAUGAGAAAAUAAAUACAAACUAAUUACCAAAUUUGAUUAACCCUACAUAAAUAUUUGUUUCCUUAUUUAAUUUUGUUACUUACCAAAUUAGAUAGUGCUCAUUUGAUAAGUAAUAAAUCUUUAUAAAAUUAAAUUUAAAAAUCAAUUUGAGCUUAAACUUAUAAUUGUGUACAUUAAAUUCAAAUUUAAUUUUAAUUUUAAUUUUCAGAAUGAAAAAAAAUUAUGUUUAAAUAAAUAGUAUAUUUCAAUUCAAAUUGUUAAUUUGAUAUUAAAAUGACACGAAAUUUCAAAUAUAUUAGCUUUUAUUUUUUAUUUAAAUUAAAGGCUUCUAUUUUUAAAAUUAAAUUCAAAUUGUUCAUUCGAUAGUAAAAACAACAUUAAAGUUCAAAAAUAUUGAUUAAAAUUAAAUUUUAAAUUUAGAUUUAGUUUAUAUUAUAGUUAAAAAAAAUAAAUACAAGCUUUCAAAAUUGAAAUACAAGCUUCGGAGAAAUUUUGAUUAAAAUACAAGCUUCGGAGAAGAUGACUGUGGGUGAAAACUUUUCCAAAAUUGAAUGGGAUAUUUUAUAAUUAAUAGAGGGGCAUUAUGGAAAUGAAAAUAGAAAUUUACAAAACUGCACUUCAUGCUAAUUUUACAUAUGAGAAAAUAGUUUGCCCUUGGUAAGAGAGUGAUCAGUACCUAAGGCAAUAAAAGCCAGUCACCCUCUUAACUAAAAGACAUCUCCAUCAUUCAUUUAAAAAAAUUUAAGGGCCGAGAUCUUUUUGGUGCAUAGGAGCAUUGCUCUUUUUUUUAAUCAAAGAGAUCAAAGAGGUGGAAAACUAGAAAAAAUAUUUCAAAAUAUAUCAUGUAAUAUCGCAUUUGCAUACCACAAUGUCAUCAUAUUAAAAAAAAAAAAAAAGAAAAAAAAAAGCCAUAUUUAUGUAUGCUUUUGCCUCACUUCCAUUCGGUAAACCUUAAUACCAAACGACCUAACUCUAUAACAAGAGGCAAUUGAAAAUAUGACAAAUAAGUCUUUUUCUUUUUUCUUUUUUUUUUUUUGAGAGAGAGAUAGGUAGCGCGCUAUGUGCUUUGUUUUAUUUCAUUUAGAAAUAAACUUAGCUGGAAAUAUGAAUCAACUAGAAUUCGAAUUUGGGACCUAAGGUAUCAACCAUCAAGCCUUUUGCCACUUACUUUAGGGACGGUCGGUAAUACGACAAAUAAGUCAACAUGCAAUUUUAUUGACCCCAGUUCAUAUGUAGAAUUGAGCCCAGUACAGGCCUUAAACAAAGCCCAGAUUUUGAGCCUUACAAUUUUAUGUUUCUUCUUUCUCUUUUCUCAAAGCCUAAAUAAAUUUAGGGUAUCUAAAUUUUCAUGUAUACAUGCACCUAAGCAAAGUACAAUGAGAAAGUAGAAUAGCAAAAAUUCCAUAUCGCAAUGAGUCCAUUACAUUGUAUUUUCUACGAUCCCCAAUAAAAAAUUAGAAAGUAUACUUUUAUAUAUUUUUGUUCCAAUUCUGUAGUGUUUAUUAGCAUUAUAUAAGCCUUCAUACUAAACGGGCGCUUCGUCUGUUGGUCCGUUUAAUUUGAUCUUGGGUUUUAGUGACUGAAUUUGGAUUUUAGGCCUUUGUAGCUUUUCAGGCUUUUGCAUGUAGCUUGGUGGUAUUUCUUAAUUAGUUGCUUCUCCUAUAUAAUAUUUUUAAAGACUCUCACAACCCUUUUGUGAUCAUCAGCCACAAUAAAGAGUGGCUAGUUGCAUGUCCUCUUGUUUAUUUGUUAUUCAGUUGCGUUAUACCCAGUUAAAUAAAAUUUGUCUAUAUAUUAUGGGUGUUCUCUAUAAAAAAGACGUGAUCUAAAAGUUAGAGAAGUGGGAAAAUUCAUUCCGCUAGUAAAAAUCCAUUCAACCCAAAAGCUUAAGCCUGGUGGGCUAGACCCAUUAAUAAACAUCGAAUUUAUUAUUUUCGUGUUUAACAAGUGAAAUUCUAACAUUAAGGACCCUUAGAAUUAGGAUUGGAGUAAGCAAACUGAGUAGGACUAGGAGAGCACAAAACAAGCAAAUCUCUCCUUUUCUUUUCAUAAUGUUUCUUUAGUUGAUAUGGUGGCAAGCAUGUACAUGUAUCCACUUCUCUCCGUAUUAUGGAAGUUUUUACAGCACCAAACUAAUUUUCAACGAUAGAACAUUAGAAACGUCUAUCCAUACUAUUGAACAUUAUCUUAAAUAGUUGUAAUUUAAUUGAACCCAUAAAAUGGAACAAGUUUUUGUCAAAGGUAUUCUAACUUUACUUCUUCUAUAUAUAAAAUGAUAAAUGUCGUACGCUAGCGGUCAAAAUUUAUAUUUGGAAUAGUUUGAAAAUAAAGUAGAAAAAUACUAAAACAUUAGGAAGUUCACUGUCUAAAGAAUUCAAAUAUUGCAGAUUAUAUCUAACAAUACUGAUUAUCAUUUAAAUACUCUAUUAUUCGAAAUAAAGUUAUUAAGCAAACGUCUUGAUAUAAUUAAUUAAUUAAUAAUGCAGAAUCUUUCUUUUUUUGAGAAAAAAGUUAGACUCGAUAUUUGGUUCAUUCAUAAUAAAUAUAAACUGAGCUUCAAAAAGUGGGGCAACUGGCCACGAAAAUCAAAAACAUUCCGAACAAGAGCACGCAAGAAAGAAAGUUAGUUUAUAAUGUUAGAAUUGGUUAAAUUUGUAGUUGAAAAUCCGAUUUGACGUUUUCGUUGCGGAAUCCCAACAAUCGAUACCGAAUCCACAGCAGUCGGUAUCGGAGCGGGUUGCAGAUUCACGAGAUCCGGUACCGAGGCGAGUACCGGAUUCCCAACAUAUAAUACAGAAUCCAACCUAUGUAAUUUAUAUAUGUGUUAGUUCACCACUCAUGUAGGUCUCUGACAUCUAACAAAAGUUAAUGAUGAUUCCCUGAUCAUCAUUUACUUUCCUUCCCCCAAUUGAUGACACCACAACACUCCCAUGAUUUGAUAAGAAAUUUUCCCCUCCCUCCAAAGUGAUAUGUAUCUCUUUUUUAAAUAAAAAAAAUUAAAGUUGAAUAUUUUAAUACAAAAAAAGGCACCCAACUAGCCAAAUCAUAUUGGCACUUCACAAAGAUAAGCAACUUUUUUGAUGCCUAGCAUUGAAAAGUAGAUGAAGCCACUAAAAUGUGUCUUUCCUUAGCUUAGUUGACAUCUCCAAAAUAUAUAAAUUUAUAUACCACUUCUUAUCCCUCCAACUUAAUCUUCUCCCCUUUUUAUAAUAGAUGAUGAGAAGGAAAGCAAAGAGAAUUAAUCUACUAAGGUAAAAAUGUGCAGAGACCCCUCGCCUAUCAGCCAUUCUGAAAUAACCCUCUGAAUUUUAAUCGCUUUUUCUAUCGGUGAGCUUUUUCAGUUAGUUAAACUAUCAGUAGUUAAUUGUUUUAGUUUAUUUACUGAAAAAUGAAUCAAAACUAUUACUUUUGAUGUGAACUCGAUAAAAUUUACUCAAGAGCGAAAGAUCAAAAUUUAUAGUUGAAGGGGUCUUCAUGCAUUUUUACCAUCUACAAAUUGAUGGAUACUUGUGGCCACUAAUUAAUAAUACUUACUAUGGUGGGCAAUGACCACUUAAGAUAUUGUUAAAUUAAACCAAAUGGAUAAGAUACUGUUAAUUAAAUUAAACCAAUUAGAUCUUUCAAAGUUAGUGCUCCAAAGUUUAUGCUCAACACAAAAAAGAAAAUAAAAUAAAAAUAAAGUUAGUGCUCAAUGGAGUGCUCCUUUCAGCAGUAAAUGCCAUCCUAUCUACCACUUGCUGCAACAGAGUUGCAAGUAGUGAUGUUAAAUUUGUGGCCACUCACAAAACCCUGUGACAUAGAAAAUCACUUCUAGAUCUUUUUUCUCAUCCAUGUUUCCUUUUUGUUAUAACAUAUAAUAUUGAAAGUGGAAGGAAUUAGCUUAAAUCAUUAUACCAAAGAAUUUUUUUUCUCAAAAAAAAAUGAUUACUUUAAUAAUUUUUCUUGCAAUUUGGACAGUAUAUAUCUCAAUUACUUGUUUUACUUCUCUUUGUUUACUUUAAUUUUUCACUAUGCACUUUGCACAGUGUCUUCUUAAAUAAUACGAAAAAAUCGUUAUUUCUCUAAAAACUUAAGCCGAUAAAGAACGAAGUUUAAAUAUUUUUAUAUUUAACACUUUUCUCACAUCUGGACUCAAGACUUUUUACUAGGACUAUGACGUGGAUUUGAAUUAAAUGAAAGAUAAAAUUAAUAAUGAUAGUACCUCCUCAUCUGAUACCAUAUUAAAUAACACAAAACAAUCGUUAUUUUCUAAAUGCUUAAGCAAAUAGAAAAUAGCGUUUAAUUUUUUUUAUAUUUAAUACCAAUUAUAUAUCAUCUUGUAUUUUUUUUUGCUUUAGUUCUCAUCAUGUAUUUUUCAUAUUCUCAAAAAAGAGUUUUCUAAACCAUAAGAUGGCAAACUAAUUAAAGUAUUUUAUUAUUGUGUAAUCUGCAAUUUAUAAGCAAAAUUUAUUGUCUUGUUCAAUAGCAAGUUUUUACAGAAAACAAAAUUAAAGUCAUAUAUAUCAUAGUAAAGAAAUAAGCUUGAAUCACGAAAUAGUAAAUAAAUUGCACUUAUUUCUGUUUUUGAGCUUGCGCAUACAUUCUAGAACGGAGAAAAACUUGAGUAGGGAUCUCCUUAAUGACGCCUCGCUGUAUGUAUUACUUUUUAUCUCAAUCCAAGAGUUAUAAUUUUUAUUUUUAGGAUUAAAAAUUAUUCGACAAAUUUUGAAUGAAGACAAAACUGAUAUGUGACAGCGAAUCAAGGGCUUCCCAAUAAAGCAUAAUUGAAGAGCUCUUUAUUCAAGUUUUAUUCUUCGAGAACCCAAUAACCUCUUCAGAUAUAUCAACUAGUUUUUUUUAACCCGAAAAUCCAUCGAUCAACUCUCUUUAAACUCCCAACCUCUAAGUUGGUGUUUGAAAUAACUAUUAAAAUAAAUUCUGAGCCAUUUUCUACUAAUCAGAUCAAUCUUUUGAAUAAUAUAGUAUCAGAACGGAUUCUAAGCCCCCUCCGUUUCAAGAAGUGCAUUAUCUCUUAAUUUAGUCAGUCUCCGCAAAAUAAUUCAUCUGAUAUCGAUCAUGCGCGCGGUGGAUGCUUAGUGAUGAAUAAAGUGUUUUUAAAGUGGAUCCGUGCCUAACUCCAUUAAAAACGUACGUGACCUCUUAUCCCUUUUUAGUUUUUAUUUCACGCCACCAUGCAAAUUCCACUUGACAUGUCAUGGAUGUUACAUAGUUGACCAACGGAAAAAGGGCGCGAAAGUCUCGCAUUGGUUGGUCGCAUGCGACGCUUUUUUCAUGAUAAUUUAUUACUCAACGGUGAAAGGCGAAGAGUAAAGCAAAAGCUUAAAAAAAAAAACAAAACAAAACAAAAAAAAACAAAAGUACCCUCACGGGGUCGGCACAAAGUUGGCUACAUUAUUCAUGCUUUAAUAACUGUGCAGCAUUUAUUUAUUUUUUAUAUUUCUUUAAUUAUAUCUCUAAUAAGAGUAUUAGCCUAUUAGGGGAAAAAAAUAUUAGUGAUCAAGUGAUUUUGAAUGUUGAGAAAUUCGACCAUGACUAAAAGUUGGAUAUUUCGAAGAUGAACUCGGCCUCAUCUCUGUAAUUUUGUGUUUGAUGAGAGUCAACCGGUGAAGAAAAUGAAUACUACUAGUUUCGGAGCAUAGUCAUUCUGCAAUUCGGUGUACGUACAACAGAUGAUUAACUGCUGAUCAGCAACGGAAUCAACACCAUGAUCCUCUAGGGUUAAGUGGGUGGUUGGUUAAGUAAAACGAUCUAACAGUUAGAAAUAAUAAAAGGGAUAAAUCUAACAGCAGAAAGGUCGGUAGCGUCAAGCGCUUGGUGCUAUCGAUAGUAUUCCAAUUGGACUCUAUAUAUGAAUUUGGCUGAAAUACUAUUAAUAAUACUAAGUCGUUGAUACUACUAAAUUUUCGACCACUGGAUAAUAAAAUGUGUAGUUAGGAUGAAAGUGGUCCCUUCAGGUCGAGUGGAUGGUUGGUUGAAUAAUACAAUUUAAGGGCUAGAAAUGAUGAAAUGGAUAAAUCUAACAGUAGAAAAUUCAAUAGCACCAAACGCUUAGUGUUAUCGAUAGUAUUCCAGCCGGACUCUAUAUAUAUAUCUUUAUUUGGGAUAAAUUUAUACUAACACUAAAUUGUACUGUUCACAACUUGUAUAUUUAGAGAAUGUAAAAAUAUAUAAGGAAGAAAAUCAAGAAAAAAAAAGUCACAUAUUCUACAAUUUUGUAUUGAAAUUUCAUAGGACAAUGAACUAAAAAUGCCAAGUAUUGACACACCCUUUUUUUUUCUUUUUUCUUUUUUUUUUAACGAUUGCUUGAUGUUUACAACACCAAUGCAUGCGUACACUCUUCAACUUUCCUACAUUUAAUUUAAUUUACUGGAGAAAGUUUUGACUCUAGCUGUGUGUCACAUUCCCAAUAAUUUAUCCAGCAUUAAAAAACUAUUUAUAUUAAUAAAGAAAUAAUCAAACAGAUAUUAAAAUUGUUAAUUUGCAUGUAUAAGAAGGAUAUAUAUAUAUCUAAGUUAAAUCUAAGUUUGUUCGCACUAUCAAGUUAAUAAAACACCGGUCCAGUUAGAUUAUGUAUAUAUUUUCUUGCUAUGUGGUUACGAGAAGAUCGGAUUACCUCGCAAAAAGUUUAAAAUCACAAAAAAUAAGAUAUAAAUCGAAUUACAAACUCGAACAAGUCGAAGGUGCAUGAGAGUGAUUAAUAGAGAAAAUUUGACCGAUACAUAAUUAACUUUGAAAAUCUAUAGAUCGAGUUUCCAACUUUCCAUUCAUAGGAAAUAGAAAUCUUAGCUAGUGACAAAAAAUUUGAUGACUAUAUUUAAAAUUUUAAAUUCGAAGUAUAACGACUUUACAUUUUAAACUAAAUUUAUUUCUAAAAAAAUAAACGAAGUGAGUAGCAUGCUACAUUUCUCUCAAAAAAACAUAAAAGUAUCACUAUUUUUACCCUAUUUUUUAUCAGAUUUUUUUGAAACAAUCCCUCUAUAGAUUUAACAAGUAAUAGAUCGUUUCUGAUUAUUGGACUUAGAGUUUGAUUGGGUCGUUUACGAUAAGCUUGACCUAAACCUGCCCUCUUCCAUCUGUGCUAGAGACGAUCAGUAAAAAUAUAUAUAUAUAUAUAUAUUAUAGUAUUACUAUGGAUGCAUGAAAAAAUUACUUAAAAACUUUGGUACGUGUUCUGCAAAAACACUUGUAAAGAGCAACCAAAACCAUUUUUUUAGCUUGUUGCAAAACAACGGUGACACAUUACCAUAGUCCUAUGUGCAGGAUUUUUUGAAGCACAAAAAUGUCUUGUACAAGGCGAUUUCACUGUCCAUUUAAUGAAGCGUCAUCCAAAACAUCGAAUCUGUUAUUAGAUAUAGCAACAUACAUUCAUCUGAAUGGAACUUGUCAAUUUUUUAAGUGAACUCACUGUUCAUUACCUUCCAUUUUGGGCAAAAGAAACCCACCACUAAAUUGUACCCUCUCUCCCUCUCCCUCCCUCUUUCUCACAUCAUCCAUGAUCCCACCCCCAUUAUGAUUCAUGAACACAACAACAACAACAACAGAGGAACAAGAACCAAUUUCAGAUCCCAUCCAAGAACCCAAACACAAACACACCCCCUAAGAAGCCGAAAACGCGACACGUCACCUAAAAUGGGAUGCCGUGUCCAAUUAUAUACAGAAAAUUUCUAUGCACAAAGCACUUGAUUAAUAUAUACUCUCCAAAAUACUAUUUUAAUUUAGGGGCAAUUGCCUAUAUAUUUCUACAAAGCUUUUGAUUUUUUAAUUUAUCCUUUUUAAAAGAUUAAUAUUAAAAAUAUUUUUUUUUACGCUUCAACCUAUUUUAAAUGUAUUUUUAAAGUUAAGUUCUGUUAAUGAACUGUUAGUAAUAACUAUUAUCUUUAUAAAAUUAUUAUUUUGCUCUUUCAAUUAUACCCUUCUACUAUUACCGACUUUUAUUUUUUAUUCUUAAUUUAGGGACACAAAAAAUAUUUUGAUUCUUUGUCUUUUCAAAUAUACUCUUUUACCAUCACUAGCAUUCCUUAUUUGUCCUUAAGUUUCGGGCAAAAGAAAUAUUUUAAAUUUUUUUUUUUUUAACUCUGGUAGAUAUUUAACUCACGUUUAACCCAAAUUAACUUAACGGAUAGUAAUUAUAAAGAUAUUUUGAAAUAACUGAGGAACAUAUAUUUUUAAAAUUUUAACGAUUCCUGAUAUGCUACUGUGCACCAUAUAAACACAUCGAUAUCAUUACAGGAGACUUUUUUAGACAAAUUUAAAGCAUAUUUUUGGGAUCUUCUAAAAUACUAUUUUUGUAAUUAAAAAAAGUGCAUUUCCCCUCUCCACAUCUCUAUCAUCCCAACUAUCCCCCACACAAAAAGAGUCAAACCCAACUUGGUGGCGUUGCAAUCCGUUUCUAUUCACCUACUCCCCCCUCCCCCAAUAUUUCCUACUCGUCAUAAAACCUCUCCUAUCCACCCCCGAAUAAGACCAAUUCCUGCUCUUAUUCCCCCCACUUCUUUUGUCCUAUUUAUUCCACUAAAAGGUGAAAUUGAAGUACAAGGUGAAAUUCAAAUUAAAAUAGAUAUAUUCACAAAGAAUUAGGGCUCAAGUAAAAAGUUAAAUUUUUUUUUUGUUAUUAGUUUGUAUAUAUGUAGAACUGUUGUUUAUUUGGUAUGGAUGUAAUUAAAAGCUGAAAUUGUAAAAGAUAAGCUAAUACUUAUUAUUAUUAGUAUUAUUAUUAUUAGGCUAAAUUACAUAAAACUCUCUUAGAAAUAUUUGUUUUUUUCAAUUUCUUUCUAUAACUUUCAAAGAUUUGUAUUUUAUCCUGUCAACAUUUCAAGUUAUUACAUUUAGAUCCUUCCGGUCCAAGAUUUUAAGUGUCCGUCGGCACGGACCGUAUCCAUCGUGUCGUAUCGUACCAACAAGAUACCGGCACGAUACAAACCCUGUGUCGAUGAUACAACUCAAAAUCCUCUAUUCUUUAAAUUAGUAAAUAAUUUCCUCAAUAAAGUUUAAAAGAUGUGAUAAAAAGACAUAAUAAAUAGUUAGAAUAUUUUGUUGCUAAAGAAAAUAAAUAUUUCAUGCUAUUAUGUGUCGGCACACAAGAAUUUCUUUUACCGACACGCAUCGGCACGGCUCGGCACGCACCGUGACGUACCAUGCCGAUAAGUUUCCGGCACGACCACGUGCCACGGCACUUAAAUCCUUGUUCCGGUCAGCAUUCUAUUACUACUCCACCCAUUCCUUAUAAUUUAUAACAAAAUACCUUUCAAAAUAAUAAAAAUAUAUUAAAAAAAUUUUAUAUAGAAAAAGUAAGAAUAAUUUGGUUAUUUUUUGCCAUCUCCAUUAACGUCGUACAUUUCGAAAAUAUUUUUAAAACUUUAAGAGAAUAAAAUAUCGAUUUUUAAAAGUCGGAGAGAUAUAAAAGGUGAAAAAAUAAAUAUUUACAGAAAGACAUUUUAUAAUUUAGCCUUAUUAUUUUAGGUGGAACAUCUAAAAUUUUUCUUGUAUACAUUAAUUUAACGAAAAAUUAACGAAGACAUUGGAAAUAAAAAGAAAAAAAGAACUACGUGACACUAAAUGCCUUUAAACCGCACCGGUUGUUUACAGUGUGCGGUCGCUCUGGGUCGGCCUCUCACCACACAAAGCGGCGAUGCACGUGUCGCCGCUUUUGACCGUUGACUUCAACCGGCAGUUCCCGGUCGCCAUCACGGCCUGCCGAUCAGGAGCGUCCAUUUUCAAGCUUUUUCUACCGCAUUUUGACUUUAAUCAGAAGAUUUGGUCUAGUCCAUGACCUUAUAUAUCUUUGUGUACCGCAAAAUAAGACACCUUUUUAUGAUAAUAUAAUUGGUAUGAAAUUUUUCUCUUUUUUUUUGGCAUUAUUAGAUUAAAGACUGAUUUUUUAUUUUUAUUUUUACCAUCAACAUCGCUGUUAAAUUUUUCACUUGUUGAUUACUUAUCUAUGAUCGAAAUGAUUUGAUAUGAAAAUAGCUAGUUUUGUUUAGUUUAAAGAAAUUUAAAAUGACAGUCGAUAAGAAUACUAAUUUUUAUUAUAACGUGGAUAAUUCAGAACAACACGACAUGUAAUUAGUAGGUAUGAGUUUGUAGAUGAAUUCGAAUUUAUUCUCAACAAUUUAUUGAUUUUUACCGACCGUCCCUAGAGCAAGUGGCAAAGGGCUUGGUGGUUGGUACCCGAGGUCCCAAGUUCGAAUCCUAGUUGAUUCACAUUUUCAGCUAAAUUUAUUUCUAAAUGAAAUAAACGAAGCGGGUAGCGUGCUACCUAUCUCUCAAAAAAAACAAUUUAUUGAUUUUCAAAUGUAAUAAUAUAAUUCAAUUUAUAUUAUGUUAUAUAAAUAAAAAUAUUUAUUUAGCAAUGCUAUGUAUAUACACAUAUGUUGGUUAUAAACUAAAUUUUUUUAAGAAAAUAAGCAUUAUUUUAUGGACCUGUAAAAUUUAGAUGAUGAGGUAGCUUGAUCCUACAUUUAAUAAAGUCCAGUUUGAACAGAAUUAUAAAACAUAUACUUUAUGCACACAAAAAUCUUUAAGUAUGAAAUGUUAUUGUUUGUUCUUCAUUAACUAAAUGCAUUUUAAUUAUUCUAACUUAUUCAAUAUAAAUAUCGUGGCUUCUAACGACAAGAUCAGUAAAGACUAGCGAGACAAGUCUCACAUCGUUUGAUACUUAUGAGUGUUAGCUUGAUGAGAACGUUAGGGCUUAAAAAGAAAAAAAAUAUGAGAUCCCAGAUAGUCUUCUAUAUAGAGUUAAAACUCUUAAUCCGGUUAUACCAUUUUGGGCGGUGACUAGAUCCAAAAGAUUAAAAGAAUUAAGCUUGAUAAGACUAAAAUAAUCCAAAAAUAGAUGAUUUUCUAAAAAGUGGGACGUCAUAUUUGGUAUCAGAACCAAUUACUAGCUAAAAAUAAAAGAUGAGUCUUAAUUGAGCCAAAAUUAUACAACAGAAAAAGCGAGACUUUAUUAUUGAUGACUGUGUUUUACUAAUGAUGAAAAAUGAAAUUUUUUUUGUCAGCAGAAAAUUUUUACGUACAGAAUUGAGAGAAGGUAACCGGCAAUAGCCGGUGGCUAGAGUCCCCCCUCUCUCUCUCUCUCUCCUUUUCCUCUGUCUCUCUCAUCCUCAACCGCCAAAUGUGCCUCCUUUCUCUCUCUUUUUUUAUUUUUUAUUUUUUAUUUUUUAUUUUUUGUGGGUCGACCCACAAUGCUCCAACAGGCUACAAAAAUUCAACCCACCAACACUAAAAUAAUGGGAUUAUAUUUCAACUAUGAAUUAAAUGCGCAUCAAAAUUGCAAUGUGGCCGUUGUUUUCUACGUCUAAUUAAAUACAAAAUUAUUAUUAUUAUUAUGAGCUGAAGCAUCUAAUUAAGAACAUCGAAGUAACACACACAGGAGUCAACACCAAUCUCUCUCUCUCUCCCUCUAAAGCUCUCUCUCUCUCUUUCUCUGUGUUCCCCAGUUUGGAUUCUAUGCUUGUUUUGAUGAAUUAAGCUUCAAAAAUCUUCUAUAAAAAGCGAAAAUUCUCUUGAAAUUUUUUAAUGGGUGUCUCCAAUUUUUCGCUUCUGAGCAUAAAAGGAGUCUCCUUUACACUUCUCUUAGCUCAAAUUUUGGUUCUUAAUCUCUCCGUGUUGCCCAAUUUCGGUUCUAUGCUUGUUUUGAUGAAUUGAAACCUACUAAAUCUUCUAUAAACAGCGAAUUCUCUUGAAAUUUUCAAAUGGGUGUCUCCAAUUUUCGCUUCUGAGCACAAAAGGAGUCUCCUUUACACUUCUUUUGCCUCAAUUUCAGGCUCUUAAGCUCCCUCUCUGUUGCCGCAUAUGGGUUCUGUGCUUGUUUCGAUGAAUUGAAUCCCAAAAAUCUUCCUCAAACAGCGAAGUUCUCCAGAAAUUUUCAAAUGGGUGGCUCCAAUUGCAGCUUCUGAGCAAAAAAGGAGUCGCUUUUACACAUCUUAGCUCAGUUUCUGGUUCUGGGAAUCACUAGAUAUGGGUAACAGGGGAGAUCCGUCGAAGCUCCUCUUCAUGCGCACAUGGCGUUUGGUUUUAUGCCUCCUCUUCUUCUACACUGCGCCCACCAAUUCCCAGGGCCAGGAGAGCUUCUGCAGCUCCUCUGAUUUGGAUGCUUUAAGGGGCUUCUCGGAAGGCCUUAAUUCUAACAUCAAAGAUUGGGGCCUCAAUUCGUCGGCGGCGGCGACGGUGGAUUGCUGCACCUGGACUGGUGUCUCCUGCGACGAUUCCUUGACGGGGUUUUCCGGCGGGCGGCGAGUGAUUGGAUUGGAUCUCCAAUCCAUGAAGCUCAAAGGGUCGAUUUCCGAUUCAUUGGCCGGAUUGGAUCAUCUGAAAUGGCUCAAUCUUUCCUUCAACUAUCUCCGUGGCACCGUUCCAAUCCAACUGUUUCACCUUCCCCAGUUGGAGCGCCUUGAUCUGAGCAGUAAUGAGCUCUCCGGCCCGACACCGAUGAACAUAUCGCUUCCGUCGAUUCGCGCUUUCAAUAUAUCUUAUAAUUUGUUCAACGGAACCCACCCCGUCCUUACCGGAUCUACCGGUCUUCUCGUGUUUGAUGUUAGCUUCAAUUUGUUCGUCGGUCAGAUCGAUACGAGCAUCUGCAAUUCGCCUACCAAGAUUCAAGUCCUCCGGUUCUCGAUGAAUAUGUUCUCGGGCGAUUUCCCGGUUGGUUUUGGCAAUUGCGGUUCUCUUGAGGAGCUCGCCGUCGAUUUGAAUGGGAUUUCCGGGAACUUACCUGAUGAUUUGUUCAAGUUGUCAUCUUUGAAGCUGUUAUAUCUCCAGGAGAACCAGCUAUCAGGGAGGAUGAGCACAAGAUUCAGUAAUCUCUCUAACCUUUCGCAAUUGGAUAUUUCCUUUAAUUCGUUCUCGGGCAACAUCCCGAACAUUUUCGGUAGUCUUAAAAAGCUCGAAUACUUUUCCGCUCAAUCUAACAGUUUCAGGGGCUCUUUGCCCUCUUCCUUAUCGAAUUUGGCCUCGCUUAGAGUGCUUUACCUGAGGAACAAUUCGCUGAGCGGCGAGAUCAGUCUCAAUUGCUCGGCGAUGACUCAUUUGAGCUCACUCGAUCUCGGCACGAACUUUUUCACGGGUCCGAUUGAUAAUCUCUCUAAUUGUCUAGAGUUGAGGAGCUUAAAUCUCGCCAGGAACAAUCUUCGCGGUGAAAUCCCUCCAAGUUUCAAGAACCUCGAUUCGCUGUCCUACAUCUCCCUUUCGAAUAACAGCUUCUCUAACUUAUCUUUGGCUUUGCGAGUUUUACAAGACUGCCCUAGCCUUACUAGUCUUGUCCUCACAAGGAAUUUUCUUGAUGGCGAUCAGACUGCGCCGAUGAUUGGGAUUCACGGAUUUCGAAACAUAGAGGUUCUUGUCAUCGCAAAUUGUCAUCUUUCGGGCUCGAUACCGCAAUGGUUGAUUAAUUGUACGAAAUUGAAAGUUCUUGAUUUAUCUUGGAACCAAUUGGACGGGGCCAUUCCUUCGUGGAUUGGAAGCUUCGAGCGCCUCUUUUAUUUCGAUCUAUCUAAUAACUCGUUGACCGGAGAGAUCCCGAUAAGCUUUUCGACGAUGAAGGGCCUUGUUACUCGCAAUACCACUCAACCACCGAGUGAAAACGAGGAUUUCCCUUUCUUCAUCAAACGGAAUAAUAGCGGGAGAGGUUUGCAAUACAAUCAAUUUAGCAGCUUCCCGCCCUCUAUGAUUCUCUGCCAUAAUAUGCUCAUUGGGCCGAUUUCGCCAGGUUUUGGGAAUCUCAAGAAUCUCCAUGUUUUAGACCUAAGCUGGAACAGGUUUUCGGGGAUUAUACCGGAGGAAUUGUCGGGCAUGUCGGGCUUAGAGACUUUGGAUUUGUCGCACAAUAUUCUUAGCGGAAGCAUACCUUCCUCGUUGACGAAGCUCAACUUCCUUUCAAGUUUCAGUGUGGCGUAUAAUAAUUUAUCCGGGCCAAUUCCAACAGGAGGCCAGUUCUCAACCUUCUCGUACUCCGACUUCGAGGGAAACGCUCGUCUAUGUGACUUCCACUUCGCUUCAUGUCCCUCCAGGGUUUCCGUACAAACCGUAGCCCAAAGGACAAAGAACAAAGGCGCCGUUAUAGGUAUCUCUCUCAGCAUUGGACUCGGAACAGCUUUUAUUCUUGUUUUUAUCUACUUAUUUGUCGCGAGGGCUAAUGCGAGAAGGCAGGAACAUGCUACAAAAUCUGUUUCUGAUUCCAACGGAAACUUCGAAUUGGCCCCUUCCACAUUGGUGUUUCUGUUUCAGAAUACCGAGAACAAAGAGCUAACCAUCAAUGACAUAUUGAAAGCCACGAAUAACUUCGACCAAGCAAAUAUUAUUGGGUGCGGGGGCUUCGGCUUAGUUUAUAAAGCAAUUCUACCAGAUGGGGCAAAACUCGCAAUUAAGCGGCUUUCUGGCGACUAUGGGCAAAUGGAGAGAGAAUUCAAAGCCGAGGUAGAGACCCUCUCGAGAGCUCAGCACACUAAUCUUGUUCUUCUUCAAGGAUAUUGUAGAAUCGCGAGCGAUCGGCUCUUGAUCUAUACGUUCAUGGAGAAUGGUAGCUUGGACUAUUGGCUUCACGAAAAGCCCGACGGCAGAACUACACUGAAUUGGGAAAGAAGACUCAACAUCGCGCAAGGAGCGGCAAAGGGAUUGGCGUACUUGCACCUAUCGUGUCAGCCGCAUAUAUUACACCGUGAUAUUAAGUCGAGCAAUAUACUUCUCAAUGAGAACUUUGAGGCUCAUUUGGCUGAUUUUGGGCUCGCUAGGCUUAUUCUGCCUUAUGAUACGCACGUGACUACCGACUUGGUGGGGACUUUGGGGUACAUUCCUCCCGAGUACGGCCACUCGUCGGUCGCCACUUUUAGAGGCGACGUGUAUAGUUUUGGUGUUGUUCUCUUGGAGCUGCUUACGGGGAAGAGGCCGGUGGAUAUGUGUAAACCUAAAGGAGGAAGGGAGUUAAUAUCGUGGGUUCUUCAGAUGAAGAAAGAGAAUCGUGUGGCCGAGGUGUUUGAUCCUUUGAUAUAUGAAAAGAAGCAUACUAACCAGCUUAUGCAGAUGCUUGAGAUUGCUUGUAUUUGCUUGAGCGACAACCCUAAGAUGAGGCCAUUAACCCAUCAACUAGUUACAUGGCUCGAUAACAUUAGUCUUGGUAGCAAAAAGCCAUCAUAAAACGAGGAACAAAUAAGUUACAAUUCGGUGAUGCUGAAGAUAUUUGGCGGUUUACCUUACUGUUAACUCUGUUUUCUUCAAUGUGCAGAUGCCAGGUGUAUAUAAUAAUCCUUUCGUCGUCAAUUCGUUCUAUACAUAACGACGCAACUAUAUGAGAGGAUGCACCGCACACAUGUUAAUCUGUAAGUUAUGUUUGCUGAAUAAAAGAGUUAAUUUUAUCCGCUGUAUAGAAGAUCCGGAUAGUUCUUUUCGUUCUGCUUUCGUAGCAGAACUUUGAAUUUGAUGUAAGAACAGAACAUGCAUAUACAGCUACAGAAAUUGAGAUACUGCUCAUCAACAAUUUCGCUGAUAUUUUUGUAAGUUUGAUGUAAAAAUGUACAAACAUUAAACAUUUAUAGAUCUGGAGUUAACUGUAUAACAUACUAUCUUCUGAAUCCAUGAGGAGUGUUGAUUAUGGUGGUUUUGUAUAGUUCCUGGUUAUUAACUCUUUCAGUUUAUGUCUUGCUAGAAGAGUAUCUUAAGUCCAUAAAAUGCACUUAUGUGAUCUUUACAUCAGCGACGGAGGCAAAGAAUUGUGAAAAGAAACGAAAAAAAAAAAAAAAAAAAAAAAAAGCAAACAUUCUCUUGCUUGUGAAAUUUACAUUUUUCUGACUACUCCAUACUUGUUCUUGUUGGUUACUUGCAAUGCAUCAUGAUUAGAUGCACGGCGACAUCUUAUGUACUAAAAAAAGGAGCCAAGUGUGGACUGCAGAAGUUACAAUCUGUCGACUCAUUCGAUCACACAAAAUUUGAGUAAGAAGCCAAAAAUCAACAUUGAAUUCGCAUACACCAUUUUGCUGCAAAAAUUUGCUUUAUAAUGAGAACUCCUCAUUAACAAUUGUCGAUUUGAAACGCCAAAUGCAUAUGAUCUCUUUACAUGACUGUAAGAUUCCUAUAAAGGGUGAUAUUACUAAAUAACAAAUGAACAUCCAAGUAUUCAUACUAGUCUCAGAAUAAUUCAACAAGAUAUGCUGCUGCUUACGUAUCAAGCAUAGCAUUCGACGUCAUCUUCGAUCUCGUGCACAGCUUGGAGAGGGCCACCUCCAGAAAAAGACCCAGAUUCACAUAUGUUCACAGGACCAUUGCCAAAAAGGCGUACUUGCGGUUCAAUUUGAUUCAUCCUAUUCCAUUCGUCAUCAGAUAGAGACCAAUCAAAGAUAUUUAUGUUCUUCUUUAUCCUCUCAGGGUUUAGGCUACACGGUAGGACGCUCGUUCCUCGCUGCAGUCCCCAUCUCAGAAUAACCUGUCACCGACAAUACAAAUGCCAUCACAAAAAAGGCGAAUAAGUUUGCCAAAUUCGAGUAGUAUUUGAGUACUAUACCUAAAAAAAAGUGACAAUCUAUAAGGUAUAUUCGAUAUAACGUCUAGUAUAGUAAAAACUUAAUUGAAUGAUUGCAUACACAAACAUCAAUUUACAUAGAUAUUUAAACAAGUAAACAGGGUAGAUAAUGCACAUCAAUUUACACAUUGGAAAAAGUGUUAUACACUGCUUGUAUUGCAUGUGAGUCUUCAAGCUUUAUGAAUUUUCACACAAAGCAAACGCCUACAUCAGCUUGAGUAUAAAAUGGCUUCUAUAUGCCGCGAGAAUUUGAAUUUGUCUCCUCAGGUUCACAAAUUUUUUACGACAAAAAGUUAAAUACAAGCUAAACAAUCUCAAAAACUAAGUUAAUGAAAGGGAAAAAGCAAACACACAUAUAGAGUCUAAAGUGGAAACUUUAGUCAUACUUUAGUAUUCUUGCUAGUGUUUCAUGCAUUUCAUAACCUACUGUUAUGAAAUCAAUCGAACCAAAAAAGUAUAAUUUGAAGCUGCGUAAGUUCGAUUGUUCAGAAAGAAUUUCCAAGAGAAGAGGAUAGCGAAAACGAACCUGUUCAGGUGUCUUAUUAUGGCGAUCUGCAAUUUCUGCAACAGCAGAAAGCUUCAACAUCGGGCCAUGCACCGAUCUCGACCUUCUAAACGAUAUUCUAGGGGUCCCGAGCUCGUCUUCUGACCCACUGUCAGAAAGGCCAGCACCACUUGUCAGCAUAUUCGAAGUUGCGGGCACUCCUAACGGAGUAUGCGCGGAGACAUGGAUACCUUUCUCUUGGCAGAACUUCACAAGCUCAUCUUGCCUCCAAAAGGGAUGCAACUCCACCUAAACAUAACAGUUUCAAGAAGAAAAUCGCACGGUAUGAAAAUUGGUUUAAUAGAAAAUUGACGCGAAUUGUAGUGACCGACUAAAAUUUGUGAAGUGCGAAUUAACUUCAUUCUAUGAUAUUACUAAAUUCACGUAAAUUUGCCAACAAACUAUCAUAUCAGGGUAUUUAACUUACAAGCAAAAAGUAAAUCAAACUAAAUGGUACAGGGAAAAGAAGUGUAUCUGUGAUUUCCGUAUCAAAUAUUUCUGCAGAUCAGAAAAGCCGACAGGAAGCACACCUGGUUGACUGCUGGAACUAUCUUGGCGAACCGAAGCAACUCAGAAAUCUGCUGAACAUUGAAAUUGCUGACACCGAUAGCGCGAACAAGACCAAUCUCAAGAAGACCCUCCAUAGCCUUCCAAGUCGGCUUCAACCUCUGCAAGAAUUGCUUGUAUGCGCUUCCCGAUUUCCAUGGCGGGUCGGUGGCAUCUUCGACGGCCGAACUCUCGGGCCAGUGCACAAGAUAAAGAUCCAAAUACGAAACGCCGAGGCUCUUCAAAGAGACUCUGACAGAAUUCUCGACCCUCUUGUGCGAAUUCGUGGCGCAGUACAACUUAGAGGUCAAGAACACCUCCUCCCUCUUGACUCCGUUAUCGAAAGCUGCCGCCAACGCCUUCCCGACUUCGACCUCAUUUCCAUACAGAUGCGCACAAUCUAUGUGGCGAUAUCCGACGUCUAAAGCCGUGGCGAUGGCUUCGAUACAGAUGUCUCCUCCACUCUGCCAUGUUCCGAGCCCUAUAGCCGGAAUCUUCGCGCCCGUGUUUAGAACAAAGUACUUUUUACUUGUGUCACUCUUUGGCCUCAUCCUACCAACCUAAACAAAGAACCACAAAAGCAAGGCCUGGUAAUCCGAAUAUGCUUGAACUCGGCACAAUGCAAUGGAUGGAUUAAGGCAUUAAUAGCUCCACAGGCCGCAACUAUUGAACUGGAAAGGACGAAAAGGCAUAGCAACAUUCUUCAAAUAAUGAUCGGAGUUUCUAUGAUGGGAAGCACGGCCCACAUAAACUGUGAUUCUAUACAACGUGAUUCAUAACUAGUAAAAUUCAUCUACAAAAAGAGGUAAAUAUGCUAAAUAUCAUAUGAAAAGCGCUAAAACAUUUAUAAAAAAAAAAAAAGCCAAAAUCAAAACCAAACCUUUUUCUUGAUCCCCUUAAAGAACUGCUGUGGGGGAAAGCAGAUGCAUCCCUCGCACCGAAAAAGCGAUUCUACAAGAAAUCCCCAAACACAGAAACGGAAACAAGGAGAGACGUGUUCAACACCAACUGCGGAUGUAGAAAAGAGUGUAACCCUAAUAAGAAAAAAUAAUAAUGCUGAAUAAAUCCACGGCCACGUAGCUAUCUAAUGUGCUCAAUAAAAGAAGAGAGAGAAAGAGAGCUCUCACUUUCUUCUUUUUUUCCUUUUUUUUUUUUUUUAAUAAGCCUACCUACCAGAGGACGACCUGAAAAUCCACCAACAACCUACCUCCCCUUAAAAUAAAGACUUCAUUUUCUUUCUUUCUUUUCUUUUUUUGAUAUUAUUAUAACACGGUCAAAAUAAUUUGACAUCGAAUGAAAAAAUAAUUUUAAUUAAAAUAUAUGAGGUCUGUAUCCUAAUAAUAAUAAUCAAAUUUAAGUGUUUUAGACUGAUGAUUUACACUCGCCGGAAGUGUGAGAACUAAGUAUUAUGCAGGACAAAGUGCUAUACCAACUGAUUUGAUGGAAACCACUUCUAGAAUUUUACGUUGUUUGAUAAUUUGUAGGAUUAUGCACUAGCGGGUCGGAUAGUUAUAAUUAUGCAAAAAAAAGAAGAAGAAAAGAAGGGCGAAAUAGUUUUGAACACUACAACUGAUACACUCCCACACGAGUAUAAAUUUUUACAUCUCUUCAUUUCAGAGUUCAUAUUGAACUUUUGUCUCAUCAAAAAAAUUUUAGCAGUAAGAAUUUUCUAAAUUUUUAGUAUGGAGGGAGUAGGAUCUACGCACUUUGAAAAAAGAGUAUAACACAUGAUAGUGACACCCCAUUAUCUAUAUAACUAAUCAAUCAAAUUUUACCAAUGAAUUCACCUAUUGAAUCCCACAAAUACAUUUAUUGUACAUUUCUCUCCAAAUGAGAGAUUUGCUUGGUUGAAAUAUGGAUGAUAUGGUGCUUCACUAGCAUUUUUUUUAAUAGUUACAAGAAUGGUUAAUGGUACACUUCAAAUGGAUAAAUCUUCUUAUACCCCCUCAGCCGCUUUUUUAAUCAAAUUUAUAGUAAAUUUUAAUUUGUCUCUAGCUAUUGUUUGGUUGGGGUUAAGGGGUGGAAUAACCUCUUAAGGUUAAGGGGUGGAAUAACCCUUAACCCCCAUUUUAUUCUCAAAUAUUUCUAAAAAUGGAUGGGAUUAGAUCCCAUCUCAAAUGGAUUAUUCCGGAUUAGCUAACCCCACCUAACCCGACCAAAUCCUAAUCAAAUAUUAUUUUCUAUUCAUAAUAACCCACUAUCCUUCUUAUCUCACAUACUCCAACCAAACACUAUUUUUCACUAUCCUGAACUAACUCCAACCUCCAACCAAACACAAAAAUACUCUGACCCCAUCUUAACUCUAAACUUAACCCUAUCCCUGAAAUAACUAAUUUUUUCUUACCCCGAACCAAACGGUUACAGUUUAGCAUGUAUUUACUAUGCUAUUUACAGUUCAAAAAUUGCACUUCACUAUUUUAUAAUUCAUUUUUAUUUUUACUGUAUACUGUUAAACGAGAUGGUAAAAUGAUAUUUACUUUUUGCAAACUACAAAGUAGUAUAAUUAAUAUAGCAUUUUAUCAUUUCUAUGAUUUUACACUUUAUCACCCUUUUGUUUACAAAAAAUAAUAUUUUACUAACUUGCUUAGCAGUAGGCUGUUUAUCGGUUCAAUAAUCCAAUUUGUAAAUAGAAAAAAAAAUAUAUUAUAAUGGAAGAGUGAUAAAUAAUGGAUAAAUAUAUAAUGCAUUGGUGCACACAUGCGCUAAAGCAUAAGUAAUAAUUAUUUUUCUAAUAAUAAAUACAAAUAGAGAGUUAGGUUGUCAUACUAUCAGUAGCUAUCAAAUUAUUCUCAAUGAUACGGCUUUUAAAUCAACGAUCGGUACUGUUAGACUUGAUCUACACUAUUAAAAAUAUUUGGAAGCUAAAUUUUAUAACAAUUUUUUAACAUUAUUUGACUAGUGACCAUUAGGCUCAGAAUUGAUAAUGAUCAAUAUGAUGCGUUUGUGAAUUUAACGGUAUAAAAUAAUUCAGAUCUAAUAAAAUUUUUAUAAAUAUUUUUUUCACUAUUUAAAAUAAGAUCAGUACCUAUGAUGUUAAAUUCAAGUCUUUUAUCAUUAUUUUUUAUAAAAUUUUUUUAUCUUCGAUCGUUUACUUUUAAACUACUCGUUUGAUAGAUAAAUGAUGUCGAAAAAUUAUGAAAUUUAGCUUUCAAAUACUUCAAUAGUGUAAAUGCAGUCUAACGAAGCCGAUCGUCGAUUUGAAAGUCGCAUCAUUAAAAAUAACUUAGUAGUACAGAGACUUUCGUUUUAUCGAUAAUAUAAUAGUCAGACUCUCUCUCUCUCUCUAUAUAUAUAGAGUCAAAACUAAAAAUAAUUUGUAAUAAGGGUAAUAAAAGAGAGAAGAUUUGUUUUCUUAGAGAGAAAUGUAGCAUACUAUCCAUUUUAUUUUUUUUAUAAAUAAAUUUAGCUGAAAAUAUGAAUCAAGUAGACUUCAAACUAAAAACCUCGAAUACUAACCAUCAAAUUUUUUACCGAAUAAAAAGGCCUUAAGCGUCUUUACUUUGGCCAGUGAACUUUGGACAGAUAGUAGCAAUAAGGGGGGCAUAGUUGGGAAAAAAAGAGCUAACUAUCAUCUCCUCUACGUGGUGGGCUUUCUGGUUGGAGCGAAAUAGAAGGAUUUUCGACCAUAAAAAACUUUCGUUGCGACAGCUGUUGGUGGACUUACACACACUUAUGAAUUCGUGGGAUCUUUAUUGUGUUUAGUUUAGUUUUUUAGUUUUUUUUCUUUUUUUCUUUUUUUCCUCUUGUGAAGCUUUGAUGCUUCACUUUAUUGCUAAAUUCAUCUUUUUACUGAAUGAACCGAUAGCAUGCUACCUUUCUCUCAAAAAAAAAAAAAAAAAUUUACCAUUUGAACUGAGGACGGUCGGUAUAAAAGAGAGAAGGGUGAAUGGGGAAUUAGGAAGGGUUUGUCUUUUUCAAGUGGGGCCCUCCUAAAGCAUAAUUGAGAAGAAAACAAGAGAGGAUGAAAACAACGGCGCUUGAUGAGUCGGCAGUACUUGUGUUAGAAAAAAAGCCAGAGCAGGCAAUGGCCCAGCUGCCGGAAAUCAUUGCAUGGGCCCACAAACCGCUGCUCAUAAUAUCUUCAAAGCCCUUGUUUGGAUAUAUCAGCAUAAAUUUGGUAAAAUAUACAGAACUUAUCUGGAUUAUAAUUAUGAAUUAUUUUGAAUUAGCUAUUCUGAGUUUUUAAAAUUUUGAUUUUGCUAAUUAAUUUUUUAAUAUAUUUUGUUUGAAUCAAUAAAUAAUAAUUUGAUUUUAAAUUUUGAAUGCAUCUUUUAUAUUUACAGAUUUAAUUAGUAUGCUUUAUGUAAUUCUCAUAAUAAGUAAUUAGCUUAAAUUUUAAAGUUAAAAUACUAUUGACUGACUAAAAUCCAGCAAAUUGGAAGGCUAGAUAGUAAAACUAAAAUUUUGAAAUGUUGGGUUGUUAAUUCAAAAAUGGUUUGUAGUUUAGACAAGUUCUGUUUGUUUUUAUCAAUAAAUUUUAUAAGAGUAAUUUGGUACUGUGAAAUUUUGUUUUCUUAUUAUCAUUUAAAACGUCAUUUUUUUAGUUUUUUUCACAAGGUUUCGAUUGUCAUGAUUUCGUAAAAUAACACUUUCAUUUUUUUCUUUUGUGUGUGUGAUAUACCGAACAAGAUGAUCAUAUAUCUAGAAAAGCUUAAACAUUCUCUUUAAUUGAUUUGUACCAAAAACUUGCAAUAUUUGAAAGGUAAAGAGUAUAAUCAAGUCUACCAAAUUGUGAAUAUUAAAACCUUUCAAACAGCUUGCUAAAAUAAAACCUGAACAUUGUAUGAUGAAAACGAAAAUUAUUAUACGUAAUUAUUGAAUAACUUAUUCUGACAUCCAAAUCAGGCCUAUGUUCAUAUGCUAAAAUGUCGUGCGUAAAUUGGUUCUACAUUACAAAUUUGCACAUUAGCAUUUAUAGGAUUAUUAUCUUUAAACAGCUUAUAAGACAUCACUUUCAGAAAAUAUUUUAGAUUUGUCAUGAAGGAUCCCCCAUAGGUUGUUGAUAUAUUAACAAGCUCAUGUGACGCUUUAAACUACAUGCAUAUAUGACUUUUUUAAACUACUCAAUAGUUUAUAAGAGGAACAUUCUCCCGCAUAAAUAAUAUUUUGUAUAAUGAACAUGUGUUUUGCUUUUGCAAUAUUCAAAGAAUCUUUCUACUUUUACAAUUUAGUAUAGUUUUUAAUUUCAAUAACUAUAUUGGCCUCAGCUUCUACUUUUUUAUUGUCAAUUUUUUUUUUAACUAUACUGACUAUCACUAACGCAAGUGAUAAAAAUUUUUAAUAUUGAUAUUCAAAAUCGUAAAAUAAAUAAAAUUAUAAAAUUAUAAAAUUUGAUUUCUACAGAGUUCAAAUAGCUUAUAUUGUGUAUGAUAAUUCCAGGCAUUGAUUUACAUGCAACCGUCAUCAGAAACAAUGCGAAAAUAUUCCAACUUUACUUUAAAAAGGUGCGAAUUAACUCAUUCUUAUCCCUUCUCUCAUUGUCUUCGCAAUAAUAAUUUCUAAAUAGAAAAAAAAGAAAUUGAAGAAAAACAGAGUAAAAUGUCCUCAUCAUUGCCAUGGCCACCAAGAUCAAUUUUCUGAGAGAAAAAGAGAAGAGCAUAUUAUCAGCAUCCAUUAAAUGUUGGGAACAUGAAGAAAAGCAUCUGAUCUGUACACUUGACAGUAAACUAACAGAGGUGUAGAAAUGGAUGCAAAAGUUUUACUUGUAGGGAGUUAGCAGCACUCUUUGGGGCCCACAUUACAUUUAGUCUUGUUUACAGAAAAGUCUUGCACACUGAAUAUUUAUUACUUAUCGGUAAUAAAUAUAUUUCAACAAUCAAAAGCUACAAAAUAAUUUUGCUGUUGAAUUUUUCUACGUACGGAGUUGUAGGAAAUGUGUCACUUCACUCUUCGUACUCACAAUUUAAUGUAAAGAUUGAUAGAAUCACUCAAUCUUAAUUGAAGUUUUGAUACCUAUAAGUGAUUAGCAUCCACGAUUCUAAUGAUAGCUUUAUCUGAUGCGAAGAACAUUAAAUCUUAACUGUAAAUAUAAAUAUGAUGAUAUUAAUUGGUUCCCUGUUCUAACUGUAACUCUCAAAUCAAAUAUUAGGAUUGAGUCACUUUCUAAUGCCGACAAUUUCGUCUUAAGGAUGCGUGAGAAGGCUAAGUGUUCGAGCAUUUCGGUUCUCGAACGUUAAUAUAUUGCAAUUUCAAACUUAAACUUUAAACAUUAUUACAGUUUAGUCCUAUAAUCCAACUAAAUCAACUAAACAGUAGGUAUCGCACGAUGUAGCAGUGACGUGACAUUGUUGCGAUUAAUGACACAUCAACGAAUAAAAUAUCACAUCAAUGUCACAUUUUAUCUAGUACGAUAAACUAAACUACAGAAUUUAAUUGAAAUAAUCGAAAAGGCUUAAGAUAGAAAGUAUAACGCAUUAAAGUUUGUAACCAAUUUGUCACCCACACCGUAGUUUGACGACUCAAUGUAUAACUUAGGUAAAAAAAUACAGAACUUUAUUUAAACAAUAGACUAUUUAAAAUUAAUUAUCCAAUCUUUCAAAUUUUUAAUUUUAUUAUCGAAUUUUUAUUUAUUUAUUUGAUUUAAGUGAGUCAAUGAUACUAUCACUUCGAAAUUUAAGUUAAUUAUUUAAUUUUAAAAAAUUAGAGUUGCAAAAGUUACUUUAAGUAUACUGACUAAAUUUGGAAAAAUAAAUAGCAUAUUUAAAUUUUAAAUUCAAAAUGCUAUUGACGGGCUCAAAUCAAACAAAUUUAAAAAUAAAAUAAUAAAAUUAAAAUUUAUAAGUUUAUAUAUUUU
rnacentral:lncRNA from 1 species